UCCCAAAGGCUCCAAGGUUUUCCUAGAAAAAUUGUACUUAAGUUAACUAAGCUUUUCUCAAGGAUAUAUCUUUCUCAUAAAGUCAUAUACAAGUUUCAUAUAGAAUCCCACAACCUGCAUUAAUAACAUGUAACAUCAAAGACAAGUAGACAACUAUGUCAAUGUAAAAUCUAUUCAGAUGAAAUAGAUGAACCUUUCUUAAAUUUCAAAUAGAGAAUAAAACUGAGCAUCUCUAAUGCUAAGCUCAAAGUUUGCACAAACAAAAGCAUAAAAACUUUACAUAAGAAGUCAAAAUAAAAGCUUAAAAAAUUCUCUCUUUUUUUUUCUGUUCUGCCAAUGCAGGAAAGACUAGAAGAAACCAUAAGUUUGAUAAAUGUGUAGGAUAACCUGACCUCCAGAAGUGGUAAAUGUGGAAAGCCCUUCAAAGUUGAUAUCUUAUUUUUGCUAGCUGCCAAUACCUGGAUGAGUACCAAAACAAAGAACAGUGGCUGAAUAAAAAAAAUAAAGAGAAAAAAAGUUAAUAAAUUAAAAUUAGCUGACCUGCAGCCGUGGUUGACUAGCCAUGGUAAGUGACUUUAACUUGUUCUGAGCAACUGAGAGAAACUGGAAGAGAAGAAGUUCGAUGUAGAUUUGUGAGAAAUAAUAAUAGUACGCAUUAUUAAAAGAGAAUACAUUAUCCAGUCUAAGACUCUGAUAAAUGAUGAUUACAGCAUACCUCCAAAUUUGGAAGUUGAGGAAGAGUAGCAAGCGAUGUUAUUUGAUUUCCAGCAAGAUAAAGUUGCUAAAGUAAUAAGGAACAAAUCAUUCUUAGUUGCAUAUUUAGGCAAAGAACCUCCAUACAGAGGUAUGCAAGUAAAAGACAACUUAAAAGACCAUUUACAUACCUGAAGUCCUUUGCAAUUUCCAAGAGGCUCAAAACCAGGUCCUUCAAAAUCAUUAAAACUAAGGUCAAGCACCUUCAAGAUAAAAUUUACCCACUCAUCAAUAUACCAUUGGGAUGUUUAGUCAAAAGAAAAUGCUUGAAGGUAACCCCUGUUAUUUUAUAAAAUGGGAUGAUAAAUGCUGGCAAAAAUAUAUCAAGAAACCAUACCUUCAACCUUUUUAAAAUCUCAAUGCCCUCUACGGAUGAUAGAAGGUUAUCCCUGAGAUAAACAAACUAUAAAGUAGAAAUAUUACUACAUGUAGAAGCAGUCAUUCUUCAGAGAGCAUUUAUAAUGUAUACUUUGUUCUGUAUGUUUGAGAUGAACACAAAAGAAACAAAGUAAAACCCUAUAUAUGGUGCAAGAACGAAGUACUCUCACAACAUUUAAUCAAAAAGUAAAAACAAAGAAAGAUGUUAACAUGAAUUAUGCAGUCAUUAAUUAGCCUAGCAACAGAAAGCUGAAAUUAACAGAAUCGCACUAACAGGUAAAGAUAUUAUUAUCUCGUAACAGUUAUUUUCACCAGAAAUCUGUGUCAACUCUCAAGCAUGUUUAAUGUAACCCAGUUAAUAAUGUCAGCAAUUCUUAUGUUUACAUACUCAACUAGUCUAUCAGGUUCGUCAUACCAUGGCAUACUGCUCGAUAUGGCUAGUAUAUAUGUAUCGGUCCGAUAGGAGACCGGUAUAGGCGGUACAUAGUGGUUUGUCGGUACACUCCACCGUAUCAUGUGUCAGUGUGUCAGUACGUAUAUGUAUCAUAUCGGUACAGUCGAUUGGUACACCGGUAUGGAUCGAUAGGGCGAAUCAUAGGCUACCUAUGAAGUGCAUACAAUCACAGCUAGCUCAUUAAGCUCAUCAGUCACCGUAUACUCUCUUGCCAAUAGCAUACCGAGUUUCAGAGAAGACCAGAUCUUAAUAAUCAUUAUAACUAACGAACAAGUGUAGAGCUUCAAUAUGACACCUCAGACACCUUGCACCACAGGCACAUUUUACAUGUUUCAAAAUGUAAUUACUAGAGAUAGCCUACAGUAAUGGAAAGUCCCCAACAAGUGCAACCUUCUCCCAUUUACCACAUUUCUUAUGCAAUUAUGCAAAUUUACAUCUUUACAUAACAUACUAAUUCCAUACCCCAUAAGAUUGCCCUUUUCUUAAGGACUACUUAAGAUUACCAUCAAAUACAUAUGAAAAAAAUCUAUCACAAAAAUUAUUUGUUUUGAGCCCUCUAAAAUUUUUGACUUAGUAGACCAUGGGAAACAGGCUAAUCAAAAUAACAAAUGUGGUACCACUGAGACUUCUACAUCAUUGCAAAAUCUUUAACUCUGACCUUAUAUGUAAUUCAUAAGUAUGAAUCCGUAUUAUCAGCCAUGACACUAACAAAAGAAAGCAUUAAAACUUUCCAUCAUGCAAAAGAUCCUAUGAUGUAUUUCCUUCUUAGAUCUAGUACUUAAGCAAUAAGAAGUCACGUCAAUCUUACUAAAGAAAUCUUAUCAUAACCUCAAGCACAUUGUGUACAUUGUAACACAACCUUAUCACAAGCAACCCAAAUCAAUGGAUUUAUCUCUAGAACCCUCCAAACCAUCCAGUCAGUGGUCGACGAUAAUUUGACAUGCUUGUAGCCUAGCAUAGAGAUAUAGAGGUACCAUUAAAGAAGUAGAGGCUGCAAUAGUGCAACACAUUCUCUCUUGUCCACCUUUAUCUCUCUGCCAUGUAUUCUUCUUUUCUCAUUCCAUGAAUCUUUUAUGUCAUAUAGUUAGAGGCCUAUAUAAGGGUGCCAUGAUGAUAACAACAUUUUCAUCACAACUCCCACAGGUGAAUUAGAUCAAUCUUUAUGUAAGUAGGAAAGCAUGAUAUUUUAUAGUAGACAUCCACCUUAUUAGGUAUGUGCAGGUGACCUCUAUAUUCAUUUCCUCCGUUUCUUUCAAAAUAAAGUUACCAAUGUUUUAUUCAUAUACCAAAUUCAUUGGAAAAACUAAGAAUUUAGUCAAGUGAGCUUCUAUAUCUUCAAACAGAACUUUGAGAAAAGACCAUAGUAAUAGUUUGACCACAUACAAAUUAACUUUAUAUAGGGUUUUAUGCUCUCCAUCAUGCUGAUGAACGAUGGCCUUGGAACUUCAAACGAUAGUCCAUUGUACCAUGCAGCGAGUUACCAGAACCAACCCCCAAGUUAAAAUAACACAAAACGAUGAAUAGGUUACUAUUUAAGUUGCUUGAUCAUUGUUAAUGGUUGGAACUUGAAAAUAAAUACAUGAAUCAAAAUUAUCAGUAGCCUUCUUUUAUAUUUGUUCACUGAUUUCACGUCAUUACAUAGACAAGAUUACAGGCCCAAACCAGAUAACUAUCAUUCUUCACUCAAAGAGCAUUAUUUGCCUAUGUAAACAAACCAAAAUUGCUAACUGAUCCAAAAUGCACGCUUACCUCUAGAUUUGGUGACAAAGUCAAGGCACUAAGGCUGCGAACUCUGUGUCCUCUUAAAUCAAGCCGCUGAAAAUGCAUUAAAAACAGCAAAAGAAGCAGUGGUUUAAACGAUGAAUGUUCUUCCUAAAGCUGCAUUGACUAAUUGAAUUCAGGUUUUUCUCUACUAUUGGUAAUAUAAUCAAAUAGAAGAAACUUAAAAGAAAAAGAACUCAAUUCUAAAUGAGAUUCCGUAUUAAGCGUGAGCUUCAUCACUUACCAGUUCAUCACCAGCCUUGACAUCGACCUGUGGAAGCAUCAUGAAGCGAGAAUCACGACUCUCAGAAGAUGAAGUCUUCUUCCGGCCUGAUAAAGACGAACUCCUAUCAACAGAUGAAGAUGUUGACCUCAUUUUAGAGCUACUCAUAAUUGAAGGUGAGCGCCCCGAUGGAGAAGAUACAUUGUUAGUGACUCUUCUGAGACUACCGCGGCCAUUGGGAUCAUCCACUGAAGAUGAGGUAAUCCUUCUUGAGGAAGAAGCUGAAAGUGAUGGUGAUGAUGGUUUGAUGGACGGCUUCCUUGUCAAGUCUGCCUUGGUACUGUCAGACUUGGAUAAUAACCUUGACAUGGGAGAUGACUUUAACGUCUCUGAACGUUUUACGGAGGCAGGUAUUUUCGAGCUAACAGAAGGCAGUGAUGAACGUCUGCUCUCAAGGCUGCUGCUUCUCUUUCCAGGAUCAGAAAGCGAAGGAGCGAUCUUUUUAGCCUCAGCUGGAGUUCCAUUUUCCUUUCGUUUUGUAGCAGAAGAUGGCUGUUUCAGUGCCAUGCCCCCAGUGCUACUUCUCCUCGGCAAUGCAUUUGAGUUCACAGCGGUUUUGGUUAAAGUAGACUUAGACCUGUUGGCAAUCUUAUCUGCUGGACCAGCACCUUCUGUUCGUUUCUUGGUCGAAGCAAUCGGUGUUAUUUCGCUAGGUUUUACCAUUUUCGAUGAUUUUUUUGAAACUCCAACGGAAGCAUCCGUCGAUUUCUCUGAGGACGUCGAUAACUGAACCUUUUUGGCCGGAUCCUCGCUAUCGUUCUCCAAAACUGACUCCAUUUCAGCAGAAAACUUGUAGCUUAUGUGUUUGGAUCCAAACCCAGCCAGCUCGAUCACGCAAAAAUACCUUUUCGAGUCCUUCGGCACACGAAUUUUAAGUGAAUGAGUUGGGCCUAGUGCGGGCAACUAACGAAGUCGACACGCAUGUUCUCCAAACGAACUCCUCGAGAAACACUGCGAAAUUAAGAAAAAAGAAAUCGAAUUGCUGUUGGUCUUUAGAUCAUUUCCAUAGUGAUCCUACAUAGAACAGGGAUUACUCUUCCAUUCAUGUAAAAACCAGCUAGAUGCAAGAAAAGCCAGGUACCGAUCUCACACACAUCGACAAACUCAAAGAAGAAAGAAAACGUUCCAAUCUUGGCACUAAAUCCAGGCUAAAUGCAGACAAACCCACCAAAAACCCAAAAUCCACAGGAAAAACACAUCAAAUCCGAAGCAAGACCAAAACUUUUCGCAACCUACGGAAAUGCAGGUCCUAGAAGGGAAGGUCCGCGCCCUACAUCGAUCUCCACGAGAAAAGAAACAACAACGAACCCAAAUUAGAAGAAGAACCUACCGCAGGAUCGAACCGGUGAGCGGGAUCUCACCUCAAACGCGGGUGACCGUGGCACCAGAACAAACCCUACUCGUCUUUGAUAAAUGUAGUCCGCGAGUACGAUCUCUGCGAGUGAGAGAGUGUGAGAGAUAGAGAGAAACGGAUACGAGCGGAAGCAUCGAAAAGUAAUCAAACGAUAAAUGAAAAGAAUAAAGAUAUUAAAAAGGAGCGAUUGAUGGCUUUCGUUGGAUGCGCGUACAAAAUUGGAAAAAGAAAAGAAGCGAGAGGAGUUCAUUUGACCAAAUUGCCCUCCUUUUGUCGGUAAUGAACAUGCCUCUCCAGCUAACGUACAAGCACGCCUCCACACAAUUCCACUCUUUCACCUCCACGUAACAGUUAUUCCAAGAAACAACGUUUCCUUUUCCAGUUAGACUUGGAGGGAAUCUUGCCAAGUCGGUGACGCGAUGCGACCCACGACCUAACGAAGGAGCAGUCGUGGUGAGCAACGGCUAGCGGUGAUCGAAACUUGGCGGUGCGUGGACCGCAAUGACAGCUGUAGAGUAUAUUUGGUGGCAGAGGUGGCUUUUUCCAUAAAACCCCUUGCUUUUGUUAUUAUUAUAAGACCUUUAUACGAAUAUAUGCGUCCCACCUGUAAUGCGUGGAUGAGCAAGUGGGGCCGGGGGGAACAGCCGAUUCUUUUUUCACGUGUACCCUCACUUACCCACAAUGGGUCCCAUUAUUCCUUCAAUCAGAAGGCAGAGGUACCGCCGUGGAACGUAGGUAUUUCGUAGCAAUAGCUUUUUUCUAUAAUACUCCUUGACUAAGUGGUAAUUAUAUAAACUUCACUUUCAUUGCGUGGCUACGCAAGGAACCGUUGUACUUUCCUCACGCCCAUUCAAACUUACCCAUUCUGGGUCCCACAGUGCCCUUCCUCCAAUCAUAAAGCAGAAGCAGUGGUAAGCGUUGGUAUGUACGGUUCUCUAGUAGCGGAGGCCUUUUUUCCUAUAAAACCCCUCAACUUUGUUGGUUAUUAUAGAAAGCCCAUGCAUCUACACCCCACUUGUAUUGCGUGGUUACGUAGGGUGGGGCCCGGAGGAAAGCAAAGCUUUCCAGUAUGUGUUGGGCCCCACAGUCUCUUCCGCCAAUGACAAUGCUGAGGUAUGGAAAAGCCGUGAAACGGUUGGGGGGGGGACUAUUUUUCUGGGGAGAAAAGGUGAGGGGCUCUUAGUGGCUGAUGCCGACACAAAUGGAAGAUCGUAGCCGUAGAUCUGAGCCGUGAUUGAUUGCCUCCCUCUAAAUUAGGUAUUUGGUGUGCCUUGGACCGGAUGAUUAAUGAUUAAUUAAUGAUGGGGUUCAAUAAAAUAUGCGAUUAAUUAGUUGUGGAUGAAGAUAACGUGCAACCAAAUACCCUUUUUUUUUCCUUUUUGUCAAAAGAUGUGCCACAAUAUAUUCAAAGGGGUUGGCAGACAAAUCCAAUAUAAAAUUCAUAAUGUCACCACUACAUCUACUAGAUCUUGGGAAUGCAAUAUUAUAUCUUGCUUAUUGCAUGAUCAAAUCAAUCAAGAUUGAAUGUUUUAAUAUCACAAUAUUUUUUUUUCAAAAAUAAAAAGAUUUUGUGAUAAAUGAUAAAGUAUUUUAGAAACUAAUCUAACUGACAUACACUAUAUUUUAAAGACUCUCAUCCUUUAGCAUGUGAGUGUAAAAAAUAAUUAUUACUUCCUUAAAUGAGUACAACAUUCAAUAAAAAUAAUAUAGGAUUAUUCUUCCUAUGUACUUGCUUUAUUUUUAAUAACCAUGGAGAGCUAAAAGAGUGUGAGUAUAUUUUUUGUUAUGUUCAAGAUAUUUCAAUAAGGUGCACUUUUUAUACUAAAAUUAUCAACCAAGGUUUUAUAUUAGAGAAUAUUAUUUUUAUUAGCAAAAUUUAGUUAUCAAUACAUAUCUAUAACAAGCAAUGCAUUUAUGUACCUUAAUCAAUAUUAUCCAACUCAAAAGUCCUGCAUAUGAUCCUCUCUCUCUCUCUCUNNNNNNNNNNNNNNNNNNNNCCUAACCUAAACUAAACCGUUACCGUCGACUAUAUAUCUCUCUCUCUCUCUCUCUCUCUCUCUCUCUCUCUCUCUCUCACACACACACACAUAUUAAAUUUGGUGCAUUAUUUGAAUCAGCAUUUGUUGUCAUUGUGUACUUUGGGUUCUCUAGAACUGAGCAUGAGAAUUAACUUCAUUUGCCAACACAUUUGUUUGGUUGUUGAUCUUUCAGAAUCAUCUUGUGCCAAGUCAAACUUGUUUGGAUAAGCAUGAACAUGUGGAUAUAAAAUAUAUAUGAACUUGUGGACAAACAAAUCCUCUGUUAUUUCUUUUCCUCCUCUGAAUAUACUAUUGUGGGGUAUAAAUUGCAAAUGUGUUUAUAAACUCAAUCUUCAGCUGAAAAAAGCAAACAUGUUUGACACCAACCCCCCCAAAAAAAAGUGCAUUAAAAGGAUUAAAACCAAUCUAAAACAGAGAAAGAAACAAAAUCAUUCAUCCCAUGGCAGCAAGUGAGGUUGUUGAAGGGGUAAUAAAUGAAAAUGGUCUAAAACAAAACAAGAAAUAUGAACAUUAUAUAUGCAGCAACAGCAGGUUGUGGGAAGGUAAUAAAUGAAAUGGUCUUUUUGUACAUAUAUGUUCUUCAAAAUGGUUAUAUAUGUCAUUCUAAAUUAUAAUAUUCCAGCUAUGGUGAGCAUUAAUAGUUCAUUAGCAUGCACCAUAUUAUAUAGGUAGGGAACAUUUGACAUCAACCCAUGACACAUGGAUACUAAAUCAUCAACCUCAAACAAAUUUAUCUAUGGCACUGCUCUAAUUUAAAAUUAUUUAUUUGAAAUUUGAAAGAAUCUUACUAGUUAUGACUCAUACUAGUUUUGCAAACCUCAAUGCCUCUAAAGAAUUCUAAAUAUUGGAACCAUAGAUUUUAUGAUAUCCAGAAUAAUACCAAUCCAACAUAACAUAUUGGUCAAAUGUCCUUGCAGCUCAAUAAUUGGAUUCUACUUGCCUUGUUUGAACUAAAUGGAUCAGGUCAGAUCAGACUUAGUUAGGCUAACAAUUGACAUCUUUAAGACAGAUGAAUAAAAUAUACACUUGUGUUGUUUUGUGCAAACUUGCUUAAUUCGAAAAAGGAAUGCUAAUGUUAUUAAAGGCUUCAAAAAAGAAAUUUGUCUUCAAAUUGGGUCCUUGAAUCAGACACACUAACAACACCAUGAAAAGUGAAUGUAAUCAACAUAAACACUCAGCUUACAAGCAAGCAUUGUUUCUCCAACCUUGAAGCAAACACUGCCCACCUCAGGAAGCUCUUUGAUGCAUCAUUUGAGAGCUGAGUUCACUGUUCACCUGCCAAACUAUGAGGAAGACCAUUCAACUGCUCCCUCUUCAAGCUGGGUUGAGGUUGGUGGACCUCAUAAAUGGCAAUCAUGGAGUAAGCAGAUGCUGUUGUUUUUGAGCGAAAGAAGCAGAAAGAGAUGCUUACUUCUCUCAACAAGGAAUGUAUGACAACUAAGGUUGAUUGAGAAUAAAGGGUCAUUGAUGAGUGUCAGUGAUCUUAUAUUUUGAGUCUGCAGCUCUGCGAGAGACUUUUAUGAAGUGAAUCGGUACAUGCAUGCUCUUUGCUCCUUUUUUUUUUGUCAUUUCAUAUAUUUGGUUGUGUUAUUGUGCAAUUUUCUUAGAAAAAUAUUAUUUUAGAUAUUCUUCAAACAGUAUUCUCAUUUUUAGUUUUUUCUUAUAAAUUCAAAAAUUUUGAAAUUAUCGCUCGUUUCUUUUCUUCUCUCCCUCCUUUCUCGUUGUCACCUAUGCCCUUAUCCUCGGUUUGUCACCUUCGAUGCUCCUUUGUUCCUCUCGAAUGUCUUAUCAACGAUAGAGAGGAGAGGAGAUGAUGGGGAAUACAAUGAAAAGAGGAAAGACUAGCGAGAGAGGAGAAAGAAUAUAAUACCUCGAUUAGUCCAUAUCAAAAGUUAAUAAUAUUAAGAUUAUUGAAAAGAAGGAGGAGGAUGAAAAAGGAAGUGGGCAUGACAAGAGAGGAGGAGGAAAAGUUAUGGAUAGACCACGAGCGAGAGGAAGGAGGAAUAGUUUUAGAAUUUUUAAAUUUAGAAAUGAUAUUAUUUUAAAAAAAAUCAAAAGAUGAUGUUAGAAGCAUAUCUAUUUUCUAGAAAAAAAAAAUUAUUAACCGAAAAAAAAAACCAUAGUGUAUUCCACGAGACUGAAUCGAUGUCAUUGUGCAAUCACUUUUGGAUGAAUUCCUAAAAAAAUUCAUACUUUCCUAAAUUUCUCAUAGAUUAUUUAUACUUAAAAAAAAAAUUGAAACAGUACUUCUAGUCUUAUGAAUUGUUUUGCCCCUUCUUUUAUUAACACAUCGUCAUCUUCAUCAUUUUGCCACCACCUACAACCCUUGUACAAGGACUCAUCGUCACUUACAACCCUAUAUCAUGUAAGAUUGGCCUCUUUCGUUGCAACUCUCUUGUGAGGGUUGAUCGUUCUCUUCAAUGCAUGUGGGGUUGUCCUCCAUGAACUUUAAGCAAGCUUUGUUAUCGCAAACUACUAAGUUCCAACGAGAACGAUGGUAGAGACUAAUGGGUUGGGCUAAGCAAAUAGAGUAACCAAUAAAAGGGUAAAAUAUUAUUUUUAGAAAGGACAUCGUUUUAAAAAACUUUAAAAGUAUGUGCCUUUUGUGAGAAAUUUUAAAAAGUAUUAAGUUUUUUUUUUUAAAUAAUUUAUUUUUUUAAUUACUUAAGACUUUUUGUUGUUUGAUAUGUGGAGUAAAGUUUGUGGAAGUCAUUGGAGGUUUUAGAGCAUCCUAAAGUAUAAAGUAAAAAAUAUUAAAAUUUAAAACAUUGAUAAUAUUAAAUUUAAACAUCCUUUGACUUAGAUGAGAUUGGAGUCGAAACACUUAGAAUUUUUUUAUAUAUGCUUCAAAUUUUUUAUCUUUCAUAUAUGUUACUUACAUUAAUAUUCAUCCAAUAAACUUAAAUUAACUAUUAGUAAUCACUAUUAUCAUUGUAUUUUAAAGAAUAUCUAAUAUUUAAUACCUAAAUUCUUUUUUUAUCAGCUCAUCAUGUUUCUCGAUACUUUGAAAGGGUUAUUAGCGUUGAUUUGUCUUUUAACAUAAUUUAUAACUUAAAUAUGGAGUUGUAAANNNNNNNNNNNNNNNNNNNNAUAUAUAUAUAUAUAUAUAUAUAUAGCACCAAUCUUAAGGCACCCUGCACGAGUAACGGAUGCUGAUCACUGGGCGGGUUGCCGCACGCUCGGACCCGAACCCGAUUGCUCUCCAGUCCUUAAACCGGAUCGAUCGGGCCGGCAUUGGAGUCUGGACCGGAAGUCGGCGGAUCGGAUUCUAACCCAUCGUUUACUGGUCUCGAAGCCAAAACAGCAAACGGGAGAAGCUCAUCGAGAUCUUGGUGCGUUCUUCCAGGAGAAGAAAACCGAUCCCCGUCGCCAAAACGAAUUGGUAAUCUCGUUCUCCUCUCCGCGUCAAUCCAGAUCCGCCACCUAUCUCUGGAGGUUGGUCCACAUCCUAGGGUUUGGGGUUGCUCAGACCCGUCGGCCUUCACCUCGGGAUCUUAUUCGAUCCUGUCGUCCUUGUGUUGGAGGACGUCACUAAUUUGAUGCAAUGCUGUAGAAUUUACACAAAGGCGCUCUCCUUUGGUCGCGCUUUAAGCUCUGACGUCGGUUCUGGUUGGGUCUUUCUUGUUCCGUUUGAUGGAACUUUGAUUUUGUGUUUGAUCGUGGACUCUAAUUGUCUUUGCAGACUGUGAUUCGGAUUUAACCGCGUGUUUGGCGGUGAUCGAAUCGAGAGUUGAUGAGACAUGGACAAGUCCAGUGCCUUGGAGUACAUCAAUCAGAUGUUCCCUACAGGUUAGGUGGAUUUACGGUUGUUUAACUAGAGCAUUGGGUUUUUGUUUUGAAUUGAUAAUAUAUAUUUAUAUACAUACGGUCGUGUAUGAAGCCAUUCAAUUGUCGGUGCUCGUUGAUGUGUUACUUCCUAGUUAAACCUUAAAUUCUUUUUUGACCGAGCUAUAACUUGAAAGCCGGAAUUUAAGAAGAAAUUCAAAUCUGGAUCAAAGCUUACUAAUGUUGCAGUUCACUACUUUGCUGUAGUAGCAAGUUUCCCUUUGGCGAAUGCUCCUUACGUUGUUCUAAUCAGGACAUUAAACUGUGAUGCACUGAGCUAGAAGCUAAAGCUGCCAGUGAAAAUGUAUGAUAGAUAGAUUAACUACUGAGAACCAUAUGCGGGUCUGUUUAUGACUUCUAGCAAGAAUUUUUGUAUGUAACAUACAAUUUAGUUUAUUAUUAAUGUGAAUCAGCAUGUAAAUGUUCCAAAGUGCUGUUAAAAUAUUUAUUUCUGUGUAAAACUGGCAUUGUAGAAAAUCUCACACAGAUUUAGUGUAUAGUAAGUGGAACACAAAACUGACAUUGUGAACCAUCUUGUUCAUUUAGAAGCAUCAUUAUUGGGGGUGGAGCCACUUAUGCAGAAGAUACAAAGCGAGAUUCGCCGUGUAGAUGCCAGCAUACUGGCAGCUGUCAGACAACAGGUCUUGCCUGCUUUUGUUCUUCGUAUAUUUUCUUUUUUAUAUUUACUAUUGUCUAGUUUUCUUCAUAUUACUGCCUACUUUACUGUCACCCUUCAUUAUUCAUUAAUGGAAUUCAUACCACAAGCAUUCGAGUGAUCUGGUAUGAAUAUAUAUAUUUUGUGAGGGUAAUGGGACUCAUGGUUAUAUUUGUGCACAUACAGAGUAACUCUGGCACAAAAGCCAAGGAAGAUCUUGCUGCUGCAACACAUGCUGUUCAGGUCCUUAUCUGUCCCUAUAUAUGUUUUUCCUGUGUAUCUCUUAGCAUAAUAUGAGGCAGUUGGUGAUAUCAUUAUUCUUGUCUAUCACUAGUUGAUGUAUAAUGUUAUCCAUAUAAUAGUGGACUUGUCACUGGAAUAGAGAAUCAUUUGAGGCUUGAAGAUGGUUGAUGUUAUCAAAUGCUUUGUUCCUAAAGUACGUUUCUCUUGGUAAACAGGAACUUAUGCACAAGAUACGUGAAAUAAAAACAAAGGCUGAACAAAGUGAAACCAUGGUUCAAGAAAUUUGUCGUGAUAUCAAGAAACUGGACUGCGCUAAGAAGCAUAUAACAACCACAAUUACGGCACUUCAUCGUCUUACCAUGCUAGGUUAGUUCCUCCCCUCCACCCCCCCUCCCUUUUCUUGUUAUCAUUUUUUUGUCUUAUCAUUCUCUGCUAGCUACUACAUGAUGGACUCUUGACCACAAAUCUAAAAGUUUACAUAUCAUAGAAAGUGAAAGUCCAGUUCUUGUUUAACAUACUCUUUUAUUGUCUGAUGGAGCCCAAUUCUUGAAAGUCCAACAAUUAUAAGGUUUUUCCAUUUUCUCUAAAUGUAUCAGUAUUUUUCAGAGAGCUGCUUUUCCGCCCCUCAAAUAAGAUUAGCUAUAUCGCAUUACAAUUGGAAUGUGAUUUGUUGCUUAUGGUUUAAUGAUGCCUUGUGCUUUUAAACUUGGUUUUUGUUUGCAACAACUUUGAUGUUUUUAGACAACAUGAUGUAGUUUAUAACUUUAUAUAUGCUUGUUUACUUUUCUUUACUCUUUUGACACUAUGUAUAGUUAUCCUUUUUUUAGUUUCUCAAAGAAAGAAGAGGAAGAGGAAGGCAUGCAUAUUGUUCUUAGUGACAAGUGUCUAUUGCUUAAUACUUAUUUUAAACUAAUUUUGUUUUAUGAAUUUCUUAGGUUUUUAAACUUUUUAUUUGUUGUUCUCUUUUUCAAAAUUUAUAAUUUUUUUCUAUUGAACUUUGAAAUUAUUUUUGGCUUAAACUGAUUCAAGAAACUAGGCAAGCUGAUUUUGAUAACCCCUUUCCCAAAGUAGUAUAAAUUUCUGUUUUUUGAACCUUAUUUGGUACUAUAGAAGCUUCAUAUGUAUAAACUCAAAGGAUUUUUUUAUACUGGCAUAAGUUCUUGCUAAUUUUCUUAGUGAAUUUAUUGUGCCAAUACUUAUCAGACAGGGUAUGAUGUUAUCUUCCUUUUGAUUUUUUUAAUAUGCAAGCUUUGCUUUUAUUGGCUUGUGAUCAAUUGUACAACAUAAGCAAACUAUGAACAUUGUACUUGCAGUAUCGGCCGUUGAGCAGCUUCAAGUAAUGGCCUCAAAACGCCAAUAUAAGGAGGCUGCUGCACAGUUGGAGGUAAAAUAACUAAAUUUAAUGUUCAUGGAUUUUUUUCUUGGAACUAUAAAUUAGGUUCUUGGUAUUGCUGCUUAAUCUUUGUUCAGAGCUGUACAAUUCUCUCUAAUCUUCUUAAUGGUUAAAACCUUUGAUUUAGAUAAGCUGUCAUUAUAUUUGAUUGCUGUGCCAGUUAUGCUUUUGAACAUUGUAGAAUGUAGACACCACAUCCUGCUCAGUAGAAAAAAGUUUUAGUGGUAGCACAAAACAUAGGCACAUCUAUCUGAAUCUUAAAACAAAAAAUGGCAUCACUGUCUUAAAAUUUAAAUAUUAUUAAGAAUUAACUGAGGUUGAUCUGCUGGUUUUUAAGUUAGCAUUGAAAAGUCUUCUGCAAUUUCUAUUCUAGCUUUGUAAAACUUAAAUAUUUCUUUUGCUCUUGAUUUUUAAAUUAGUAAUUGUCAAAUUGCAAUGUGGAUUAUUAACCUCAUGACUAACAGAAGGCAUAACAUGUUUCCAGGCAGUAAACCAAUUGUGCAGUCACUUUGAAGCUUACAGGGAUAUACCAAAGAUAUCCGAACUCAGAGAGAAGUUCAAGAACAUCAAGAAAAUACUCAAGUCUCAUGUAUUUUCAGACUUUUCAAGGUAGUUGCUGAUUGAUUUUAAUAAACUCUAUUUGGGUUAUUAAUAUAUGUCUUGGGUAUAAGAAUUAAGGAAAUGCUUGAUGAUUAGAACUUACAAGAUCCUGGUUCACAUCUUUAAGUUGAUUAGGUUUUGAACCUAUUAAAGUUCCAAAUUCAUGAUAUUAUUUUUUUUUGAGGAAAAUGAGAUAGAUGGUAAAUUUCUUCAAGUACUUGUCCUGAUGUCCCAUGUGGUUUGGUUAUUAUCAUGGCAUGUGCCUUGCUUUUGUUAAUAUAAUAUUAAGGAGAUUUGGUGAAUAAGGGAUCUAAAGUAACAAAUGAACCACCUAUCCAUGAUUGAAAAAGAAGCAAAACUUUAUUAUUACUAAUGUUAAGCUUGGGACUGUUGGAGUUGUGAUUUCUUUUUUUAUUUUUUUAAAAAUUAUUUUUCUAUUUUUGAGAUAUUUUAAUUUGGGUAUCUCUAGAUGUUAGCAAGUAUACAAAUCUCGGGUCUGGUACUUAAUUCUGUAACCGAUUGAACUGAUACAAUACUGGUGUACAGAAUGAUCAUCAAUCUCAUGUGUUGAUUGAACAAAAUAAUAUAUGUGAACUCAUUCAAUACAUCUUCCUAUCUUUCAGGUACUAUUAGUAUUGGAUGCCUUUCAUCCCCCUAGGCUACUUAGGGGUUCCGUAGGGUCGAGAUACUAACAUUUUGUCAAUGUAUUCACUUGCUAAGAUUCCAUUGCAAUGGCACCCAAAAAUAGGGAGUUUUGGCCCAGUUUCAAUCUCAUUUGAUGUUUGGUUGAUAUUUCAGCUUGUGACUUUUAUUUUACAUGGAUGCAUAUAUAAGAAAAAGUGAGGUUGCUAUGCUACCAUAAGUCUCUCUACCUUGUAACCCAUACAAGAAAACAAAUUAAAACAAAAUGAUGAACUAUUGCACAAACAAAGCUUUUGUCACUACAUGGCUACAUUGAGCAUUCCAUUCUCCUUCAUGUAAACUACAACGACCUUGUAGAUGUGUGCUUAGUUAGAUGCAGAAAUGAUUCCUUUUUGUGCCUAUUGCAUCCUUGGCUCCCAAUUUGCUUCUAAAAUAGGAAAAAAUUGGCAUUUCACCAAGUAUUUCACCUACUUUGUGUUGUUUGGCAACGUGCACUAUUAAUCCAGCAAAAUUCUUUACUAUCAUAUGAAGUUUUGGUGGUUGUGACUUAGUUAAAAGUUAAAACACAUUUUAAAGGGAUAGUGAAUUUGUAUGGUAGGGCUUCAAGCAUCUUGUGUGUAACACUUUGUGCACUCUGAAGUUUAAACCAUGUGGGGAGCUGAACUUUGUAUGAUUGCCUAUCUUCCACUAAUACCACAGAGGCCUUAAUACUUGUGAAAUGAUCCCUUAUGCAUCUAGUGUUAUGAGAACUGAAGGGAUAUUGGUUGGAGUUUGUCUAGCACUAGGUCAUCUAUCUUGAAGUCUUUAGUCCUCCCCUGAGUCAAUCCAUUUCAUAUUUUUAUCGCUCCCGAGUAUUUCAUUAUAUCCCUCAUGAUCAUCUUAGUGGCCUCCACCAUUGAGCAGUGGGUGGGUGCUGCAAUAAAUGUAUCAUACUUCGAGAAUAGAUCAUCUUCCACCAAAAUUGAUAUAAUAAGCAGUUGACAUUUUGGUUAUAUAUUAAAGGUCUAAUAUACUUUCAUAUUUGCAAUUCUCCUGAUGAGAAAGGGCAACGUUCACCGACAAGAGGAACCCAUGGCCACAUACCGGCAUGCAUAGGGGAUCUGAUCUACCAUUCACUAUGUCUAUAAUCCUUAGAGUGAUUAAGACUAUGCUUACCUUUCUUCAUCUCAUUAUUUCAGAAUAUACAAUUUCUUACAUAAAAGCCUGUUAACAUCAAUAUAUGAGUAUUGAUUAUUAUUAUAUAGUCUUGCAGUUUGGGGCUCAUGGAUUCUGUGGCAUUAUUAAAAAAUAAGUGGCAUAGUACACGAGGUACCCAUUAAGAUAGGGUUUAUCAAGGGUUAUAUUUAUGGUACAAUCACUUAAAAGGAGAAGUAAGCUAAGCUGUUUAGGACAUGUUAGUUUUUCCGAAGUUUUGAAUAAGCAAAGUAAAAGUUGGGAAGAAUAUCAGAGUCUGAUACCCAUCAUAUUGAAGUAUUAAGGGUUCAUAAAGGGGCUGCAGUAGCUGGUAGGAAGUUUAUUUUGUGGUUCCUUUGCCUGGCACUAUAUUUCCAGGAGUAUUGUAGGAUAUAUGCAUAUAUAUCCUUUAUCCAAGAUUAAAUUCCCCAUGGUCUUUGCUCAUCAGAUUUCAAGCAUAGUGUCGACUGCAUUAGGAAGUUGAUCAAUGUGCAACUUCAUUCCAGCUUUCUUAACUAUAUAUAAUGAUCUAAGUUGUAAUCAAUAAUUUAUAUGCAUUUGCUUUAAGAUAUUUUUCGGAUGAGUUCGUGUUGUGAAGUUCAAAAUAAAAUGUAUCUAAAUGAGUUUAACAGAGUGGAGGAAAAAGAAUCCAGAACUAAUACAAUUUUUGGCAGAAUGCAAACACAAAUAUUACAAGAAAUGUGAGAUUCAAACAAAUUAAGUAUGGACUUUCAUGCAAGAGUAAAAACUUUUUGUUGAAGAGAAGCAGGGAAGGUUUAAAUAACUAUGACAAAGCUUAUUGAUUAUGCUAGAAAAAUACCUUUAAAAUAAAGGAAUGAUAUGGAAUCAUUUUAUUAUUGUAGUUUAUCUAAUAUAUUUUGUAUGCUUUGGAAUCCCUUGAGAGCAUUUCCUGUAAUAUAUUGCAAAAUAAGUUUGUACAAAAUUUUCUUUACCAUUAGCCUUAGGCUUCCUGUGAACAUCUAGUAAAAGUUUCAAUUAGCAUGCAUUUUUAUUGAUAAAGAGGUCCUUUAAAUCAAAUAUCGACAAAAAAUUGCAGCUUAGGGACUGGAAAAGAGACAGAAGAAACUAAUUUGCUGCAGCAGCUAACAGAUGCUUGCUUGGUUGUUGAUGCGCUGGAACCAUCUGUAAGGGAAGAACUAGUAAGAAACUUCUGCAAUAAGGAGCUCACUUCAUAUCGUCAGAUCUUUGAGGGAGCAGGUUGCUUAAUUAUAGGUUAUGCUAAGUUUUUCUUCCCCAAUCUUCAUUUUCCUGUUCUUGAAAUUGGUUCUUUUGUCACUUCCAUUUCUGACACUAGAAUUAGCAAAAUUGGAUAAGACUGAAAGGAGAUAUGCAUGGAUUAAGCGUCGACUGCGGACAAAUGAGGAAAUUUGGAAGAUUUUCCCUCCUGCAUGGCAUGUUGACUAUCUUCUUUGCAUUCAGUUCUGUAAGCUGACGAGGUUAGUGGCACCUAACCAGCAUUUCAGCUAUCUUGCUUUUACUCUGUUUUCAAAGCGUCCUAUGAUUUUAUCUGAGCUUUGAUAUCUCUUGUUUCCAACAUAGAAUGAAAAUUCUUCUGAAUGAUAUUAAUCACUUAAUUCUUGAAAGUUGAAACCUUUUUUUUCUGACAGAUAGUUAUUUGAAUUUUGAUGUAUCUGUUUUGAUAGUUAUUUUGUUAAUGAUAGUUAUUUUGUUAAUGGUAGUUAUUUUGAUUUAUUAUUAAAUAUAAUUUUCAUUUAUUUGACCCAUCACCAGGUCUGGAAUCUAAAUUUUACUAUAGGUUAAUAUGCAAAAAAUAGCUUAAAUAGAUUAUAAAAAAAGACUCUGAUUUUGUAGUAUUUUACAUUUUCCAAUCAUCUAUAUAUAUUUAUGUAUCUUCCUCUUCUAAUUAAUUUUCAUGGGAAACUGUCACAUAAAAACUUUUCUCAAGUGAGAAGUUAGGAAGAAAGACAAAGGAAGUUGGAUGCCAACUAUCUAACAUAAAGAUAUAUUUGGAAAUAGAAUGAGCUCCACAUCACAUAAUGAAAACAAUGUUUUAGCACAGAAACCAAACUAAUGAGGUAAUACUUAAUAGUACCUUGAAGAAAUAUUACUCCUGGAACUUGGCUGGUCUCUAGGAUUUUGAUAUGUGCUACAUGUAGGAUGUAUUGACAGAUAACUCCUAUGUUCUCUUUUUCAGUGCUCGUCCCAAUCUUGGAUAAAGGAAAACUGCAUCAUCCUACUGACAACCAGCUGAAAACUUUGUUGAAUCUCAUGAACCUGUAUCUUAAUUGAUCUUAUUUCAUUACAGGGCUAGGUUAUACUUGUAAGUGACUUAAGGUAUAUGCAAGGUUCUUGCAUUAUUUUGGAUCAAGGAGAAUCAAGAAGUCUGGGACUUAAGAUCAGACCACUUUAGAAUAUAGGAACAUUUACAGAAGAAUUAAAAUUAGUAUAUACAAAUACAAUAAUCAGAAGUAGAAACAACAUAGUUUGUUUGCAUGAAAUUAAGUGGAUAGAGAAAAUUUAGGGAAUUAUAUGAAAACUUAGAUGCAAUAGUUCAAGAAAUACAUGUCGAUGAUAAGAUUAUAACUGGAGGGGAUAUGAAUGGUCAAAUAGGAUUAUAACUGGAGGGGAUAUGAAUGGUCAAAUAGGAAAAGAAGAUGGAGAAUUUAGAAGAGUUCAUGAUGGGUACGAGUAUGAGAGAAGAACAAGAUGAUCUCAUAAUUGUUAAUACUUAUUUUAAGAAAAAAUCCGAUUACUUAUAAAAGUAGAAAUGUUAUAGUCAGAUGGAUGUUUUUCUUGCUGGAAAGAUGGAUUUCUUUCUCCUAGGAAAGAUGGAUUUAAAUGUAAGGGCUAUAUGAUGUAUGAAGAAAGCUUGUCUAAUCAUCAAAAAUGAUAAUAUUAAAUGUAUCCUUUAGGAAACGGAAGAGAAAAAUCAUGAAUAAUUUUCUAAUUGCAUAGUGAAAUCUAAAUCAUAAUAUCACAAGCCUGUUUAAAGUAGGAUGAAGAAAUAAGGAGUUUGAAACUUGUAAGAAAAUAAUAUUAGUAUUAUGUGUAUGGCUACAAAUUUUAAGAGCAUGUUAAAAUAGUUUCUUGGAGCGUUUAAAGGUGGGAAUCUUGGUUGAAGAGAAAGCUGGUUGUACUGUGAGGAAUCCCAAAAAACGAUUACUACAAAAUAUCAUUCUUUAAAGGCUAGCUGAAUAGUAAGAACAAGGGGAAUUUUAGAAUAUAUACAACUAAGAAGAAGGCUGAAAAAUCUAGUAGUAUAAUUAAAUGUAAAGUUCAUGAUAGUUUUAUAAUAAAAUAGUUGUUAAGGAUUAAGAAAAUAAAAUUUAUUUGAUUGCUAAAGUCAAGGAAAGGAAGAAUAGAGAUUUAAGUAACACUAGAUGAAUAAAUAAAGAAGACCAAAGGGUACUUGUUAAUAUCAUGGAUGUUAAGGAAAGAUGAAGGAAUUACUUUACAAAUUAUUUUGUGAACAUUUUAUAGAUAACCGAGAAUAAUAGAUUUGUUAAAAAAAGUUAAAGAGUAAUUGUUGUAAAGGAGGUUAUCAAGAGGAGAAAAUAAAUGUAAAAGUACAUGAUGAUACCUCUAUUGAGUUUUGGAAGAGUUAUGAGAUUAAGUGAUCGUUUGGUUUAUUAGUUUAUAUAUUAAAAUAUCAAGAAUUAAAAGGUUUUUUGAAGAAUAAAAGAGUGACAUGUUAUUAUACAUUAUAUAAAAUGAGGGAGAUAUUUAACGGCUUGUUCCUAUUUUGUUGGUGGACAUGCUAUUUAAAUGGAUAUUGAUUCUUAAGUAAAUUGUUUCUUGGUAAGUUCGAGGGCCUACUUAGUAUUGAAAUAUACGAUGCAGAUUUUGAAUGACAGGGGAUGGCUUUUUAUUGAUAGUAGCCUCUUCCAGUAAUAUAUAGCCAAUCUUUUUAUAAUGCAUAUUGUUCUUACAUUUCUUUUUUUAUCAUAUUUAACAAGAUAAUUUGACAUAUCUAAUUUUUCAGGAUGCAAAUUGUCGAUAUUCUUAACAAUCUGAAAGAGAAACCAGAUGUUGCAACACUUUUAUUGGUAAUUCUUCAUCUCAUUUUUCAUCAUUGUUGUACUGUUUGUUUCAUUUGGACUUAAUAAUGUUCAACAUUAGUUUUAGGGUCUAUAAGCCACCUAUUAGUAAACUUUGUAUUGGUUUUGAGUUAGUUGAUGCAUAAUAAGAUCAGUUAUCAGGGCAGAAGAUCUUAUUAUCUUAUGUAACUUUUAACCUUCCAUGUUCAUAAAAGCUUCUAACAAAUGAUAAAUAAUUGCCUUCAGUUUAGUAAUAAACUCUUCACAAAUCAUUUCUAUUUUGAUUGUGCUUUGGUGAGGAAAUCUUAUGUGAUAAAAUUUAGAAAGUAAAGAUGUAGUAAUAAAAUUGACAAAAAACUAUAAUAGGUUCAAAAGUUGAAUAUCAAAUUAUCUAAGACUAUGAUAAACAACUAGUUGAUUGAUCAUGUUGUGAAACAUUGUGAUAUAGGACAAAUUUUUUAUACUGAUCUCGCUAAAACUUGGGGAUUAACUCCAAGAAAUGAAGGGCUGGAAUCUUUGUUUAAAAAAUAUUUGAUUGAUAGUUUUCGUUCUUUGUAGAUUCUUUAAUACUUAUGAAACUUCCUUGUAGGGCUGGAAUCUUCAUUCAAGCCUUAAAAUCUUCAAUCUAAGAUAUAUCUCCUUUCUUUUUCUUUGUGAUCUCCAAUAAGAAGAUAAGAUAUGUCUCCAUUUUGUUUUGCUUGACUUCCUUUUUUUCUCUCUUUGGACAACCUUGGUAACCGAUGUAGCAUCAUAGAUGUUGCCAUACAGCAGCUUGUGACAUUUGCAAAAGACCCCUUUAACUAAUGUAAUUUAUUCAAAAGAAAAAUGAAUCAAAAUGGUCUCACAUCACAGUUGUAAGACUUAGGAGGAUUUAUUUUGUGGUAUGUAUAUAAUUAAAUUGAGGUGAUGCUCAAAUCGACUUCUACUUGUGACCAUCCGUGCUAGGUAGACAACCUCAAUUGCAUUAUUUUGUGCCGGAGCUAGCAAUCAAUUGGCAUGCUCAUGCACACAUGCCCAAACAAAGGUGAAUUCUAGGUGAACACCUAGAAAUUAAUAUGUUAUCUUUAGGUAGAGAGAACAAAUGAUUAUGCUUGUAGUUCUGUUUAGUAGUUCCAGCCCCACAUAAGUAGUAAAUCACUUAUCACCUAUAAGUGUGAAGAUUCUGUACUUUUGAGUAGAAGCAAGUGAAUUCAAGUCAAAACAAAGAAUGGCAUUGGUUAUUUAAUUCUGUGUUUCAGCUUGUUUUUCCUUUUAUUGAAAUACAUUUCCUUUUUUGUUAAUCUAAAUUAAUAUGAUCUUACUCUUUGCAUUUCAGGCAUUGCAGAGGACACUUGAGUUUGAGGAAGAGUUGGCUGAAAAAUUCAGCGGAGGAACUGCAAGCACACGGAACAAAGAACUUGGGAAUGAUGUAGAAGAAUCUGGCGAGGGGGAAAGCAACAGGCAAAUUGUCUCAGAUAUUCGGAAGAAAUAUGAAAAAAAGCUUGCUAUGCAACAUGGUGAAGCUGAAACAGUACGCACCAAGACAUUUUUUUCUUGAACUUCCACUUGUGCUUAGCAGUUAGCACCCUAAUUUUCCUUUUCCUUUCCUAGGAAAAGGACAAGCAAAAAGAUUUAUCGGUGCCUGGGGCUGGAGUAAGUAGCUUAGCUUCCUUGGUGACAUCAGGUCCAUGUCUUGCAUUAUCCUGUCUGUAUGAGUUUGGCACUGAUUUUUAUUCACUAUUCUUGCAGUUCAACUUUCGUGGCAUUAUUUCCUCUUGCUUUGAAACACAUUUGGCAGUCUAUGUGGAGUUAGAGGAGAAAACACUUAUGGAACAUUUGGAGAAACUUGUGCAGGUUGUUAAACAAGUUUUAUUCUGUGAAUUCUUCUGGCACUUAACAGUCAUGUUCUAAAACAUGUUUUCUAAUAGGAAGAAACAUGGGAAACUGAAGAGGGAAGUCAGACAAAUAUUUUGUCAAGUAGCAUGCAGGUAUUAUGUUGUUUGUAGAAUUUCCUUUUUUUUUUUGUUGGAACCUCAGCAUGUUUUAGAAGUAACAUGGGAAACUGCCUUGACAUUUUGAAGAAAGAUGCUCUGACAUUUAUUAGGAAGAAACAUGGGAAACUGCUUUGACAUUUCAGUGUUUUAGAAGUUGAAGACUAUGACAGUUUACACGGUCCUUAUAGGUUACUUCUGAAAAUUAUGUGCAGAAAGUUGGACUAUUUUCCAGUUUUUGGAGCACCACUUACAAAAUUCCUUUUACUUAUUUUCUAAUGGCUUUAAUGUUUCAUUCUGUAGUGUAGAUAUUUUUGUUAGAGUUCAUGACCUUAUGGUGGGAGCAAAUAGCUACUUAACUUGCUUUCAUCUCAUUCUGUUGUGAAGAAGUUGGUGAUUGUACCUAAAGGAAAAUAGAACAUGAGAAAUUAUCAGUGUGCUAGUUGAUAAACUAAUUUUGACAUCAAGGACUUCCAUCUUGGCUACCCUCUUAAAUUGGUAUAUACUGGUACCAUAUGUGCUGCUGCUUGGUAUGUGAGGCAUGUUGACAUCAAAAAGAAAAGAACAAAGUGAGAAAAAAGGAAAUAAAAAAGAAAAACACAAUGUUCUUUAUAUAUAGUAAAUAAAGGAGAAAGAAAAAUUGCAAAUGAAAUGUGUAUGUUUCUCACUGCCUGCCGCUUUCUAUUGGGUUCCCAGCAGUGUAGACAUCUAGCAAUGGUUCCUGGUAUGAAGAUUUUGUGCAGAUCCAAAGAUGCCUGUACCUAAUUGGAUCUCAUACUCGAUGAUGUUUCUAGAGAACCAACAAACGACAAAGGUGAGAUGGUCAUCGAAUGGAAAAUUUGCCGCAUGUAGUUGAUAAGUUGUUAGAGGGAGAGACAAGGUUGGUAGAAGGUAAUAGCUUGCAAGGGAUGAAGCAGGUGCUGAGAGAGGGAUCAAGUGGUGACUCGUAAGGGCUCAGUUCACUUAAAGUAGGACUAAAAUGGUGUGUUUUGAUGUGUACAGCCAGGUUUCAUGGUACAUGCGAGAUGUAUUUUUUUGAUUACUUGUCUAAAUUUGUGAUGAAUUUAGGUAUUUUUUUGUCAUAGACAAAUGGAACAUGUGCAAGAGGAAUGCUUUUAUUAAGAUGGAUAUUUAUAUCUCACAUGCGAGAUAUAUCCCAAAGUUUAACUUUACAUCAUGCAUGUCUGACGAUUUUAACUUUUGCAUGCCAUAUGAUGAAGCCACACUAAAAGGACAUUUACAGAACUGAGACAUAAUUAUGGAUUUCCAUAGGGUAAGAAAUCUAUUGCAUUUGUCCUACAUCUCAUAGAAAUUGUAUAGAGCUAUACAGGCUCAUUUUUGGGUAUGCCACUGAACAAAAUGUAAAAACUAGGAGAUGGUAUUCUUUUUUAUUAUGUCAUCAAGACAUAUCUGAACCUAUUGGUUUAGUGGUUCCACAUUGGUGAUAGUCAUGGACAUUAGGAUGAUACAGGAAGGCAGGCAGCAAAUUAAGAAGUAUCAAACUAUCAAUAUUUUUUAGCACAAAAUUGCUGAUCAUAAAUGCAGUAUCCACAUGCUUCGUCCAUCUCUCAACCCAAUGUGUUGAGCAUGGGACAAAAUGAGAUUAGCACAAAGGAAAAGUGAACUUACUUUCUUGGUCUAGAAAAUUUUUUUAUUGUAGAUGAAGUUGAACAAAAUUUUUUUUCACCUUCAGCAUUUAUUACUGCAGGUAUUCUUGAUAAUAAGGAGAAGCUUAAAGCGAUGCAGUGCUUUAACAAAGAAUCAGACACUGUUUAAUUUGUUUGAGGUACCUAUAUUCGUUUUUUAUCCUCAUAGCAAUUCUUGCAGUUGCAUUUCUUGGAAAUGAUAACUUCAUGUCAAGAUAGACCAUUUUAGUGUCAAAUGAACCAUUUGAAAGUUGGCAAAGUAAAACUGUUGAGAGUUGAGGCAAUAAUGUAGUUUCAUUUAAUUUGGUAGCUCUGCAAAAUUAUGAUGUAUUCCACCUACACACCAAGUAUAAUUUCUUCUUUAUAUUAAAACUUCUUGUGCAAAUUCAUUGGAAUGCCAGUAUAAAGGUGUAUGUAUAUGGUAACUUAUAUUACUUGUCUAUGACUUUGUAUUUAGUAGGUAUUUCAAAGAAUUCUGAAAGCAUAUGCAACGAAGCUAUACACUAGAUUGCCCAAAGGUGGUACAGGGCUUGUUGCAGCUGCUACAGGAACAGAUGGACAGAUUAAGGUCAAACCUUUGUUCAUCUCAUUGCCGACAUGGAGGAAUAAUAAUUUCUUUUCUUUGCGCCUUGCUUUUUUACAUUUAAUGCUCACAUGUUUUGUCAAUCACUGCAGACAUCUGAUAGAGAUGAGAGAAUGAUAUGCUACAUUGUGAAUACAGCAGAGUACUGCCACAAAACUGUAUGUUGGCUUUUAUGCUCUCUUAAGACAAAUUUUAUGAGAAUAUUUAAUGGCAUACUGGGGAGGAAUUUGAAUGUCAAACUAUUGAACUCUUAUAGGAAGUCAGAUGUAGUGAAAAAGAGAAAAAAUAUCCAUUAUUUUUAGUUUCUGCUAUAUAACCUUUGUUCCUCCAGCAAUUCCUUGAUUUAUCAGUUCUUAGUCAUGAUCACAGCAAGCAUGUACAUUCAUCUCAUAACAACACCAGCCAUGAGUGAUUGAGAACUACACUCUAUAUUUUAAAUAUCCAUUCUGUGUCAGCAUUGCAAGUUAACAUUACUGUGCUUUGUUGUGACAGUCAGGUGAACUAGCUGAAAAUGUUUCAAAGAUCAUUGAUCCUUCAUUUUCGGACAAGGUGGAUAUGUCAGAAGUUCAGGUAAUAAGUUUUACCUGCUUCAUCUAUGUUCCUUCAAAGCUUUUGGUGUCAAUAAACUCAUGUGCAUUUUAUAUCCAUGAAGGAUGAAUUCUCUGCAGUGAUCACAAAAGCAUUAGUUACAUUAGUCCAUGGACUUGAGACCAAAUUUGAUGCUGAAAUGAUUGCAAUGACACGAGUUCCUUGGGCAAGCCUCGAAAGUGUUGGUGACCAGUCAGAGUAAAGCACUUAACGCUUAGUUAUUCAUUAUUUACUUUUGUACUCUUCAAGCAAAUGCGAUCAUCAAGCAUUAGGUUGUUAAUGGGCAUCGAGUUAAGACUUUUUUGCUGAUCAGAUAGAUAAAGAUUCACAAGUUCCCACUCUUCCUUUAAUCAGAUAGAGUCAAGCCCAUUAAAUCCUUACUUGUGCUUAUAGAGUGUAGCAGUGUGAUAUUGAGCAGAAAAGAAGGCUGGGUGGUUCUUGUUUUAACGUUGAACAAUUCUUAUUAAAAACGUUACUGAUUUUAUGUAUUGAGUUAAGCUGAUCUUUUAUUUGAACCGUAUUUUUAUGCUUUAUUCAUCAAAACUACUUCUGAUCAUACUUGGCAGGUAUGUCAAUGGCAUCAACUCUAUUCUUGCUAGUAGCAUUCCUAUGCUUGGUAGCCUGUUGUCGCCCACUUAUUUCCAGUAUUUCUUGGACAAGGUGAGUGACAAAUUACAUUGGUUGCACAAAUCAAAUGGAACUUUUUACAGUAAUUUUUCCUGGUGGGACUACUGAUUGUGGUGCCAGCAUGAACAAGGAUACUCAUAGAAUUGCUUUGUUACAAGAGCUAAAGUAUGCAACUAACAGGAUCAAGUUCACAUACACUAGUUUUGUAGGUUCACUUAAUUAAGAAAAUUUGUUAUUUUGGAAGCUAAUUUUGGAGAAAAUUUAAACUUAAUGGUUAAUAACAAGUGCUGAAGUUAAUGAAGUGUUGAAGGGGACUGAGUUGUUUGUCUGUGGUUGAGUGUUUGAUGUGUCAGCACAAGUUUUGCAUUUUAAUAGAAAUCACAAUAAUUUAUGAGAUGCUUGUAUCAGGUACAAGUCCACGUUGUUUAACUUUUUGUCUGUAGCUUAUAGUGAAUCAUAUAAUAAGCUGCCAAAUUUGUAUUUCUAUUUCAGGGGAAGUCUGCAUUAGGUCAACUAGCUAGCAAAGCAUGCGAAGGAAGAUUUAAAUACAUUUUUAUAAUGUGUCUGAAAAAACACAUCCAAUUGUGGAUGUUGCCUCUGAGUUCUUAUAAGUUAUAACCCUUUGUGAUUUAGUGAUGUUAGUUGAUUAAAAGCUAAAUAGUGCGCAAAAUUAUGGCCUCCAUUUAUUCUUGUACUUUAUGGAAGAACAAGGUAACUGGUUUGUGGUUGUGGUUGCAUGUUUGAAUCUUUGUGCUUUCCCAAAUAUUGGCAUGGAUAAUUCCUCAUGGGGCCAGUUUGACAUUUCUUAGAAGAGUUAUGCGUAUUUUUGUUUGUAUGUGGACUUGGAAUUAGAAUUCCACUAAGCACAUAUUCUUGUUUAUUUCUUUUCUUGUGGUUUUUUAACCUUUACUUCUUUUCUUUAUUAUAUUGUAUUUGUUCUGAUAACUUAAGUUUCUUUCUACAGCUUGCAGCAUCUCUUGGCCCUCGAUUUUACCUCAAUAUUUUCAAAUGCAAACAUAUAUCAGAAACUGGCGCACAGCAGGUAAUUGAAAUUCCUUGCUGAUUCCUUUAAGCAGACAGCUAGAAAACCAUAAUUUGUAUAUCUUGAUUCACAUUUUUUUGUCUCACUAUGGGAAUUUGUGACUUGAGUACCUUGGUUCUUUAUGCUGUAGAUGCUGCUGGAUACCCAGGCUGUAAAAACAAUCCUUUUGGAGAUUCCUUCUUUAGGGAAGCAGGUAUAUGACUUUAUAGACGUCUUUAUUUAUCAUUUUUAGAUUCUUGAUAGUGUUUCCGGCCAAGUCACAUGAUGCGAGAGGAGACCAUAGUUAUAGAAGGUAUAUUGGCAAUUUGUAAAAUGCCUGCACAUUCAAGGUGGAAUUCAUCAGUUUGUAGUAAAACAAUCCAAGAUAUUUUAGUUAUAAGCAUUGGAUUUCCAGUUCCUUAAACUUGGAAUUUAGAUAUUAACAUUUGCAUUUCUAGCCAUCUACUCUAGCAAAAAAGUAAACCAGUUGGCUAUAUAAGAUUGUUUUGUUUCAGAAUAAUUUCAUACAUGCUUUUUCAAUGGCUAUUUCUCUUUGCCCUUAAACAGACAGCAGUUGCUACUAGCUAUUCAAAAUUUGUUAGUCGUGAAAUGAGUAAAGCUGAAGCACUGUUGAAGGUAUGAAAUUGGCUCUAUUGACAUUAUUUUGACCUGAAGAUCAUAUAAUGGAACUGAAGGAUUAAUCUGUAUUUUUCAGGUUAUAUUAUCUCCCAUUGAUUCUGUUGCAAAUACGUACAGAGCACUGCUUCCUGAGGGAACACCUGCUGAGUUCCAGAGGAUACUUGACCUCAAGGUUCUGUGCUUAAAUAUUAUGCUUCUCACUUGUGUGUUUCUCAAAUAGGUCUUAGUGUACUUUGCAUUAGUCCAUGAAAACCUUCUGGUGAAGAAUUUAAAAUAAAUUGUUAUUUGCGGAGAACAAUAUCCUUGACAACCCCUUUAUUACACUGAAAGUUAUACUAUGAACCCUGAAGCAACUUUUGGUAACUAAACACUAUUUGCAGAAAUUCAAAGUGAACUCCACUUUGGUGCCAAUUCUUUUUACAUUUGGUGAAACAAAUGGGCCCUUAGAAUCAUUAUCUUUGAGCAAAACAAUUAGCUGUUAACUUAUGAUUUUAUAGAAUUUAGCUGUUUUGUUCCCUCAAUCACUUCUAAAUAUGAUUAGUCAGGUCAUAACACAAACUUCUCUCUCUCUCUCUCUCUCUCUCUAUCUAUCUAUCUCUCUUCUUCUUAUUCUUCUUCUGCUGCUGCUGCUGCUGAUAUAGGAGGCUGUGUUCUGUUAUCUGUUACGUCACUUUAAAAUGACUACAGUAAACAUAAUUUUUAACUGAUGAUGGAUGCCACAUCUUAACAUUCGACAAUCUUCUUGUAUAGGAUUUUAGGAAAUGCCAAAUUGAUAUUCUUUUCUUUGAUGGCAACCUUCCAAAGUCUUAAGAAACAAUGAAAUCUAAUGUAACUUGCUUCUGCUAUGCAUCUGAUUGUUUUAGUUUUGUUGCAGGGCUUAAAGAAAGCAGACCAACAAGCUAUACUUGAUGAUUUCAACAAGCAAAACUCAUCAAUCAGACACCCAUCUGUGGCUCCAUCAGUAGCCAUCCCAUCUGCUCCACCUGCACCAGCUGCCCCACCUUUAACAGCCACAUCUACAACUUCCACGUCUACUCUCUCAUCCAAUACUUCUGCCUCUGUUGCUAUUGCAUCCCGAGAAGAUGUGCUCACUCGGGCUGCAGCUCUUGGAAGGGGAGCUGCUACAACUGGUUUCAAGAGGUUCCUUGCCUUAACAGAAGCUGCCAAGGACAGGAAAGAUGGACCCUUCCGGAAACUCUUCAAUCCUUAGUGCUUUCAUUUUCUUAAUUUCUUUUCCCCCUGUCUACCUUUUUGAGUAUAUGCCUAUAUGGUGUUUAUUCUUAACAGACGCAGAAGGUCCAAGUUAGGGUUCUAUGGAAACUUUGUUUAUGUUACUUUGUGCCAUAAGCUGCCAGAAGCAUUGUUGCCCUUCUCCUUACAUGUUCUGACAUAUUUUCUGAACUAUUGCAAUGAGUAUUAGAUUGGAAUGCAUUCAUGACUACCAUAAAUGAGUAUCUCAGCCAUAAACAAGAGUUGGAGUUUUUGCCUUCUGUUAAAAAUAAAGAUCCAUAUUAUUUUGAAGUUGAUACUCUCUUGCCAGAUGAAGUGCGGUCUAUGGUGUCAGUGGCUAACCAUAGUAGAAGACUGAAUGCUCUCAUGAUUUAUCUCUAAAGUUUUUAUUUAAUGGUUUAAGAUACAUUUGCAUUUGUACUAUUAAGGGCAGUUGCCUUAGCUCAAUAACAUGGCAUGCAUUCUGGUCCACAGAGCGCAUGCAGUUUUCAAUUUUUCUUUUUAUAUGUACUCCUACAUAUUUUAGCAAGGUCUAAAGAAGACCACAUUUCAGAUUUCUUCAGGCAGCCAUAUUCACAGUAGAGAUGUUGUCAUAAGCAACAAGAAAAAUUAAACACAAAUGCAAAUACAUGGCCAAAUGACAAGGAGGGCAGAUACCUUCAGCUGUGAUGUUCUUGUUGGCAGAUGUAAUGCAAAGACAACGAUUGGUCUAUGGCAAUCAAUUUCGCCUUGAAAGGGUAAACAGGUUUUCUGACUUGAAUAAGCAUUACUUCAUUUUCUGUCAUCUACUCUAGAGAAUAAUUCUGCGGUGCUUUUUCAUUGACUUUUUCCUCCUCCUAUAUUGACUCUUAGGUACCACCAUUGUAUGACCAAAAUAUUAUGGCAUGAUUGUUUUUGUGCAGUUUGUAUUUAUGACCAAAAUUCAAGACUUUGUUUUUCUUCAAUGUUAGUGUUGUGUUAAUGGGAAAAACUGAUACAUGAUUUUAGAUAUGUUGUUUGAUUUUGUUUUACUUACUAUCUGGUUAUGAUGUUACAAUGAUGAACUUAUCCAUUGUUCUCUUGGUAUAUAUUCUUGUGGUGUUCUGCAUUGUUUGAAGCAAAGUGAAAUUCAUUGCUUAUGUUUAUCAUUUGUCAUGUUUGAAAACCACAAUUAUUAGUGUUUAUGUAUGGUUAUUUGAGUAUGAGCUCCUCAAGUGAUUUAUGGUUAUGUGAAUAUUAGCUCCUCAAGCUGUGAUACAAUUCUGUUGAUAUGUUCUGGCAAAAUCUUUAAUAUUUUUUAAUGAAAAAUGUUGUGCUAAGCUAAUAACAAACUUUUUGAGGACUAAGUGGUUUCGUAUAUUAAAUUUGUUUAAUACAAUUUCAUUUUCAGACUCCAUGUUCUGAAUCUUACUAUCUCUAUUCUAAAAUACCUUAGUUCAUAAAGAUUGUUCUAAAAUUUUCUGUAGGAGAAUGACUGAUAAAUCGACUGGCUGAUCCAUAGACAUUCUGAUAUGAUUGCUGCCUUGAGAAUUUUCCUGAAAGAAGUUCCUGUGGUAACUGAUUAAGAUGAUCCAAUGGAAGGUUUGAUACUUUAUGCAACAAUGCCUUUUAAGUCUCAUGUCAAGUGCCAUAUCUUUGGCUGGUAACAUCAUCUGCAAGAUUACCAAUGAGCUGUGGAUUUUUCUUACUGCAUGGCAGACCAUUAAAUGACUGCAUUUACCAACUCAAGUUACUUUUUUCUUAUAAGCUUUACAAUGAACAUAUUCUGAGAAGGGUUAGGCAUGGCGAUAGAUACACACUUCUAAGCCAGCUCCUGAAACCAAUUUAUAUGUUGAGAAUGCUUUCUGCCAUCUAUUUUUCAGACAAGACUAGUGUUUUUUUGAAGAAUGUAUUGGUCUUUUGGAAUGGUUUGUCAGGCUGCAACUUUUCUACCAACAUUUCAGAAGUCAGCUUUAUGGAGGCCAAAUUGGAUUUUGGUGAGCCGAAAUAUCCUCUUAGUACUAAAAGUAUUCUUGUGUGAUGCCUGUCACAGCAACCAUUACUAUCAAAUGCAAUUUACUUGAAGGUAGAAAGAUUCUUACCAAUGGUACCUUCUUCAUAAUUGCCUUAUAUUUUCAGACUGUGGUGGAAGCAACCACCAUAAUUAUCUGGAAGAUAGUGCAUGUAUAGCCAUGCUGAAGUUGGAAAAUUGCCACCAAAGCUGGAAAACCCCCCCCCCUAGUAGAGGUAUUAUCAUGUUCCUUCUUCUUCUUUUACUUGUUUGUUUGUUAUGUAUAUAUGUAUAUAUGUAUAUGUAUGUGUGUGUAUAUAUAUAUAUAUAUAGUAAUCUCGAUACAUAAUGACACAGUUAUUAGAGUGGAACUAAAUAUCCAUUUGAUCAAGUGUCCGAUCAUUGGAUCAAUUGAUCUAAUUGUUGUGUCAAGUGGUUAGAUUAUAAGAUUAAUAAUUUUUAUGCAAAUAAUGUGCAGCUUAUAAUUAUUUUUAUAAUAAAUUAAAUAUUAAUUUUUUUUUAAUAUAAUACCUGUAUGAAUAUAAUGGACCCGAUUAGUCAAACAAAUAAGAGGAGAGUAGAGGAAAAAAAAGAGUAGGGUGAUGAGAGAUAGAAACAGAAGCAGAAGAGGAAGAAAAUUCAAUUAUGAUAAAAAAGAAAUAGUUAAAAUUGAAAGAGAGGACGAAGAAGAUGAUAGAGGAGGACAAUGAUAAGAUAAGAUGGAUGAUGGGGGGGAGGACAAGUGCAGACACUGAGGGGGAUGAGUUUCUCUUUUAUUCAUUUAAUUUAUAAAUACUUACUUUUUUCUUUAAAAAAUAAAUAUCUUUAAAGCUCAAUUGGUAAUAUGAUCUAACAAGGAGUCUGUUUCUCGAAUUAUUAGGUUCGAUCGGCCGGCCUGAUCUAGAAUUUUCGACUAUGCUUAAUUGAGAUCAGACUGUAAUGUCUAAACAUGAUUUUUCUUGAAGUAGUUUAAUUGUAUGUAGAAUCAAAAUACUCGAACAUAUUUAUAACCAUCGUUAUCAUCGUAGAAGCGAUAUUAGUAUCAUCGUGAAUUUUAUUUUAUUGAAGCGAUAGCUACUGAAGGAGAUUAAUAAUAAUUAUAUGUGUGAGUGUCAAUCUUUCAAUUUUAGAAGCAUACAGACACAAAUAUAUAUAUAUAUGUAAUAUUGUAAAAUAAAAAAAAGUCUGGAUAAAUAAGAUUAACUUGCAUUAUGUGCAAGUUAAAACAACAGAGAUAAGUGAACCUAAGCAUAAGGAGCAAUAGAUAUUGUGUUUCUUAGAUAUGCGGUUUAGGCAACAGAUGGGAAGAAGACAGACCUAUAUAUAGAGUCAUAAGAAAAGUUUACAGCUUCUCUGUGCUCUGAUGAACUGUGGUGAUGAUGUUCUAGUAGUAACCUCACUAUAUGCUGCAGCACAGUAGAAAACAUAGGUGAAAUGCAGUGUGUUUGUGAGAGAGAAGAAAAGGCAUGCAAGAAGACAUAACCAUAUACAUCAUCACGAUCGAAACCUCGGCCUCUUUGGUUCGUACCUCCACAAGGUGCUGCAGCAAAGUAGAAAACGAAUGUGAAAUGCUGUUAGAGAGUGAGAGGAAAGGGAAGAAGAUUGAACUGUCUUCUUUUGCUUUGUUGGGAGUCAUAGCUCCACAAAACGCUGUAAGAAAAAGCAGAAAACAGUCUGAAGUGUUUGUGUGUGUGAGUAUGAGAGAGAAGAAAAGCAUGGAUGGAAGAUACAAGUGUACAUCACGAUCGAUAUCCAGCCUCUUUUGCUGUGAUGAAUUUGCGCUGAUGCUGCUCCUCAUAGCUUCACAAGAUGCUGUAGAAAAGGCAGCAAAGCAAUCGUGAAGUGUUUCUGUGUGUGUGUAUGUGAGAGAGAGAGAGAGAGAGAGAGAGAGAGAGAGAGAGAGAGAGAGAGAGAGAGAGANNNNNNNNNNNNNNNNNNNNGAGAGAGAGAGAGAGAGAGAGAGAGAGAGAGAGAGAGAGAGAGAGAGGGAGAACCAUGCUUGGCUCCUCGCACGCCAUCCGCAGUAGCCAAUCGAUAGUUUUGAUUGGUAACUACGCGAGUGGCAUACAGGGAGCCAGGCAUAGUCUAUUUCACCUCUUCUUCUACAUCCAAAACCCUUCAACACAGGGCAGGGAGAUGGAGAAGGGUGUACGUAAUCCAUGCUUCUUCAUAUAGAUCGUGUGCAUGUCACAAGAACACACCAAGAGAUACCUGUCCAGCUUCCAACGACAACACAAGCACAAGCCUAAAAGAGACUCGCAGACUUUGCAGCCAGGGAAACCCUAAGCUAGUGUGUCUGUCUUGUUGAGCUAGGAGAAGGGUGAUGUUGUAGGGUUAUAUGUACAUAUAUAUAUAUAUAUAGAUAGCAGUGAAUCCCAGCUGACAUAUAUUAAUAAUAACACAGUAAAUAAACCUGUCCAGCAUCCAGCUAUAGUUGUCACAACAAGUAUAGCUGGAUCAAGUGGUGAGAUUCAAGAGUUGGAGUGAGAAGCAUGUUGGAAGAAGAACAAGAUGGUGGCUGCCACAUGGGCACUGAUUUCCAAGGUUAAUUAUUCUCUGGAUCUACAUAUCUUGUGAGGGGACUUGGAUUUUGUUAUGCUGUACGUGCUCUCUUUUCAGUCUUUUGAUCUGGGAGUUUGUCUGGAGUGCUUGGACCCAACAUAGAUUCUCCUGCCAACCUUAUUCUCCAAUCAAAAACCUUCAACUCCAGGUUGUUUCCCUCUCUCUCUCUCUCUCUCUCUCUUGUUCCUCAAGGAGUUGCAUGAACUUUCCCACUAAAUCUACAUACCUCAUGAAAUGUCCCUACACUUGCUCAACAUAGGAAGGCAACGAAAUAUACAAUCUCUUAAUGCGACUCCUAAUCUUUCAUUUAAUGCUUUCAUGGGGAAAGGUCAAAUGGGCACAUUCUUACAAGGGAAAACAUCAUGCAAAAUGAGGUUCUAAACUGAUUGUCAACCUGAGAGAAAGAUAACAAAGACUACUUCACACUCAAACCUUGAUGUGGAAGAUAGAGCAUAUCAUGUAAAUGAUAUAAACCACUCAGUAAAAUAGUGCAUUAUUUAAGUUUAGUUUGAUCCAACUUGCAAUUGGUUCCCUUUUCCUCUUAUUCUUUCUCAAGCUCACAAAAAGGGAGUACAUAAUAACAAACACUCUUUGCAAAGCAAAUCAUGUUUCUAAAAACAUGUAAUUGCCUAAAACUUAGAAACACAUGAUUAGAGUUCAUCCAAGUUAAGACCUGACUUUGGUGGCAGAUUAGAUGAGUUCAGGCUAACCACACUAUACAUCUCACAACUAUUUUUUCAAACAUCCACCUUUUUGAUGGACACUUAUUCUUAAAAAAAAAGACAAAGAAUCAUAAAAAGAAAAUCAACAUAGUACUUAACACCUGUUGUAACAUAUGAAAAGUUCAUGCAAUUCUUGAGCUGGGUUUUUAGUUCCUGGUUGAAAUGCAGCAAAUCAGGCUGCUUUUGUGAACUGUAAAUUACAAACCUUAGGUUAUAAUUCGAUUCUACGUUUGAUUCUUCUGAUUUUGAUUUCCAACAUCUACUGAUAGUCAUUUGUAUCAGCUUAAAUCUCCUCUUUUUUUUUUCUUUUCUCCUCUGUUGCUUUCUGUGUAGAAAUGCAUGAUAUAGAGUAUGCUUCCUGAGUUCCAGACAUGGCUGUAGUUGUUGAGAACUCAAGGACAUUGAAUGGAACCUUUUGCUUGCGGACUUUAAAUUUCUGAGCCAAGUGAAAAGUUUGUGUGUUGAAGGUGAGCAAUGCUGUGGUUGGAGUGACCACAGGGAAGAUAAUGACUGUUUAUUCUUGUUCUAUACUUGUUUUCCUCACAUGAUGCUGAUUUUUUUUCCAUGGAUUUCAGUUCUCUUUGGAAAAGUUACUUCUUAACACUACUCUAAUCAAUCCUGUGGUUGAAUUAUCAUUUCCUCCCUGGAUUCAAGCUGAGAGAGCUCCUUCAGCUCAUAAAAUGGUUUUGAAACUAUGCUCUCAGUUUCAUGAAAACAGGUCUAAACAACAUGUCUGACUCAAUCAUUCAUCAAAGGAACCAGUAUGGCAUAGGAGGUAGCUUCUUCUAAUUGAUGUGGGUGUUCUUUGCUAGUUGGUCAGGAUUGGAACCUCUCAUGCUUUGCAGCUACUAAAUCUUUUAAUUGGAAAAGUAAAAGGCCCAUGAACACAUCACCAAUAUGUCUCUUGCUUGUGUUGUUGGUGGAUAUAUUAGAUCCAGUGACAGCUACUGAUGCUUAUAAAACUCAAAAAGAAAUGGGGAAACAGUAGCACUUGUCAUAGUAGGGAAAACCAAGUGCAACUCCCUUCUUAGACCUCAGUUUUCACCUAUCAGGCCAUGACUUUCCUCCUGAACCUAUCAGUUGAAUUCCCAAAACAUGUAAUCUCACCAUGCCAAACUUGCAGCCUAGCCUUUGUCCCAAGAAUGCUUCUUUUGAUGCUAGAAUGAUGUCAAUGUUCCUUCUAUUUGCUCUUAGCAGUGCAACAAUCUUCUUUCUCCUUCUCCUGACUGAUUGGCUUCUGCUUGGACUAGUUAAUGAGUUAGGUUUAGACUGUCAUGUAGAUUAGGAUGGCUUGAAUAGGACUACUCCCUCCACUGAAUAGUUGGUUCUAACAAAAAUUUGAAAAGGUCACUGUUAGGCCAAACACCAGAAUCGUAUUCCAGCUUGAAGGAGUGGCCAAUCUUCCAGUAGGUUUGUCCAUAUUCAAGCUUUAUGUCACAGCCUCAAAGUGAACUGAUACAUGGAAUCAUCCUGAAAGUUCACUAAAGAGCAGUGGUUUAUAGACAUGGGUAGUUGGACAGGUGAUGUUGGCACUAGUUUGGCAACACUGGUCACUUGCAAGCAAGAUGGAUUCCAAUCUAUGAUAGAUUUGCAUUAAAUAAAUAAACCUACCAACAAUUUUUCACAUGGUUUGGCAGUCAUCCAAGUUUGACAUGGUGUCAUGGUAGAAGAUUAUGUAUGUAUCCUCUAAUUCUGUCAGCAGGUUUUGGUGGAAGCUUUAAGCUUUUUUAAAGCAUUUGAUAGUGGAUAAAACUUGACAUGAUUCACAUCUUGAGCUUCAUUCAGAUCUUCCAUUUGGAUCAUUGAAGAGCCAUACAGUUUAACAUGAUUCACAUCAUGUUUGCUGAGGUCCAUGGUUCUACUAUAAUCAGAGGCAUAAAUCACAACCUAGUUACUAUUUUGACCAAGAUGGAACUUGUGGAAUCUCCCUCAAUGAUUGGAAUCUUCUUCUCUUUGGAUGGUUUGGCACAAUUUGCUUGGAUUCAUCACCUCACUAGUCUAUUGGAGAAUCAAUCUUCUUUAACAUGGUAGGUCAAUUAUGUAGAAUUUCCCAAAACUUCUUAAUGUUAUUUCUGGCACUGAUUCUAUUACCUACAGAGAAAGUUCACAGCUUAGAAGUUGGCCUUCAGCAGCUUUCAUUAAUCUCAGUCCAUUAAAUAUGAGGCAAGUAGGAUUUGGGUGACACCAAUUUCAACAUAUUCUUUAGCUGUAAGCUUGUGGAUGAUUGAGGAAAACCUGCACAUAAUCACAAACAAAUGAAAACAAAUAGGCUGUUGAGGAAGAUGGUGAGAACCAAUUGAGCUGGACCAUCUCAUCAGGCUUUUAAUGUCAGCAAAUCUGCAUUCAGAUUUCACAAUAACAUUGAGUAGUUGAUUGACACAUCAUGAUAAAUGCAUUAAAUGGUGAGGCCCAAAUGAUAGAUAAUCUAAGGCUAUAAUAUUUCAUCAUCUGCUUGUUUUGUUCUGACCCCAUAUGAUUGCAUCUCCCUUGUUAAUGUCACUGUUAGAAGGUAUUAGAAAGUAUUUGCUGCAUUAGACUAUGGUAUUAAGCUUAGACCAUAUCUAGUCUUAGAAGCUUAGAACAUAACAUAUAUUGUCCUCUUUUAGAAGUGAGCAUGUGGUUCAUCUCACUUUAACAGGUUAGAUCUAAAAACAGAGGAAACCUCAAAGAUUUGUGGUAUGAAUAAUCUGUAAGGAAAAAAUUUGCUGCAUCAUUGGCAGAGAAUUAAAAUGCUGUAACCUUUGUAACUAUUGGUUGUUUAUAACACUGUGUUCUUUGAAGUGUAUUUGAAUUGACAAAGAUAAUACUCAAUUCAUAGUAAUUCUCUUACAUUUGUUGUCUCUGAAUUAUUUGGUGACAAGCAGAAAAUGUGUCAAAAUAUAAAGGGAUAAUCCAUCUGGAUCAAGUCAUUUUUUCUUUGAGGUAACUUCAAGUACAUCAAUCCAGUAUACUUAGAGCACAUGUAAAUUUGGUAUGCAGUUCCAAUUCUGCAAAACAACCAUAAUUGAUCACACUAAAUUUUGACAUGACAACCAAAUUACAAGUCCAGUGUAUGUAAACAAACAUACAAAUAAUUUAUAUGUAACACAGAAUCAAGAGGAGGCUUUCUGCAUCUGACCUUGGUAGCCUUUCCAUUAAACCUGUGCCAGCUGGUGUCAUUUCCCAUUAAUCAUCAACCUCACUCUUCUUCUGUCUCAGUAACAUUUGUGUUGAGAUGCCCAUUAAGCUUAUCCACCAUAAACAAAAAAGAAAGCUUCCUAUAUUGCAUGGAACAGGAACUUAUAAUAACUGGACAUGUAUGUGGGCAACUUGGAAUGAGUGAUAUAAAUAGGAGGUAUAUUCUUGUUCUAAUUGCUCACCAACCUCAUCAAAACCUCAAAAAGGAUUCCAUGUUGAUGCCAGAGACCUCUGUGUUAAGUAAGCCCCCAAACUCCCUUCACCAAAAUUUGGCACCACCUCUCCCUUUGGGUCAUCCUCCAGCUUGGUGAGGUUGUUCAGAACUGAUCUCAGGACCUUCCUGUCACCAGUGAGAUGAUUCAAUCCAGAGCUUGGGUCAGGCAAGCCACCUGUUUGUGCCAAGCAUCUUGGUAGGGGCAUGUCCCUCUCCACUGGGGGCAGGUGUGGGGCCAAGUUUGGGGCUGUGCUGGAGAAGCAGGGCACCUGCUCAAACCCCUCCAAGUUGAGUGGGGUUUGGUCAAGGGUGAUGUAGUUGUCCAUCAGAGCAGGGAGGGAUUGGGGGCUUGAAUCAUCAUGGCUUGUCUCCAUGCUUGGCUUGGUGGACAUCCCUCUGCUCUUGUAGAACACUCUACAUAGGACCCAAUCUUCCUGCUUGCACAAUCAAAAAGGAAGUGUCAUAGUCCAUGUGCUGAAAGUACUGACUCAAACUUGAGAAAUCUCAAAGCUUUGUGAUGAACAGUGUAUAGAAUUAACUAUUUUGGCAGUCGAGCACUUCAGUCGACCUCCUUCCAUUCAGAUAUUGUGUUGAAGAUGAAACAGAAUUAGCAUGGUGAGAAAAAAUUAGCAACUUGUUCUACUCCAGAACUCAAGUCAGAGAUUUAUUAGGGGAAACUGAUUCUUGAAGCUUUGAGAUGAUUAAAUUCCAGAAUACAGUAAAAAACAAUUGUGCCAAUUUGUGAUCUGCUUCCUUUUCAUUUUUCUUGUUCUUUAGCUCCACUAGUGUCUUAUAAUUCAUCCCACUGUUCCAACUCUAAUUAGAUUCAUUGGGCAGAAGAGAUGCAUGAUCUAAUCAAUGUAAAUAUCUUAAUCUUCUUGUCAUAUUUUAAUUUAUGUGCAAAAAAAGCUUUUAGAUUGUUUGGUUAAGAAUCUAAGCUCCUAACAGGGGAUUCCACAAAGAUGUAUUGUAUGCCUAGCAUCUCUUACUAGCUAAAACAACCCACAGAAUGAUCAUCCUCCCUGUCAAAAACCAAUUUUCUAUUAAGCCAAAAGAUCAAUUCAUCCAACAAGACCAGUGAUUAGAAAGCACCAAAAACAAUUACAGUAAGAACAGUACAUAUAGCAGAGAGAUGUCUUUGGAGAUUCUCCCUGUCUACUAAUUUUCUUUAAGCCAAAAGAUCAAUUUAUCUAACAAGAUAAUUAAUUAGAGAGAGAGAGAGAGAGGAUAGAUUGUGCUCGCUGCAGAAAAGUGAUAAGGUCUAAAGAGUCGAGAUCAAAAGGUCACCUUGAAGGGCAAGUUUGGAGUUGCAGCAGAUUCUUCCAUGCGGUAUUCAUGCAUGACCCACUCCGUCUUCUUGCCCUUGGGAGCUCUUCCUUGAUAGAACACCAAAGUCUUCCUCAUUCCCACAAGGAAUCCCUUCCGAGCCACCGAUCGAUCCUUCCCGGUCGCUUUCCAGUAGCCUGACAUGGUGGCGCGAUUGGUUCGCUGCCCCGUCGCGUACUUUCGAUCUCGGAGACUGAAGAAGUACCACUCCUUGCCCCCGACACAUGCAGUAGCUGAUCCACCAGAAAAAUUCACCAAGUGAGGAGCUUGUGGAUGGGAAUGCAAAGGCAAGUUGCAGUGGGAUCAAACUCCAUGACAGAGAGAGAUCGCUCAUCAUGGCGUCCCGAUGGCUGGUGGAUUGGCACAUCGACGUCCCAAAGAAGCGUCGAUGUGUCAGCAUCAAGCGGGGUGGACGAACACGUGUGUGGUCCACUGGAGGUCGACGAACACACUCUCUCGAAUGGACAUUUAGUGCCGUGAAUCCAUGGACGUGCUCAGAAAGCAUUCUUUCAGCUAAAAGACCAGAUUUUGCAGCAGGUUAAGGUGAGAAAGCCAACGCCUUGUUUCCUCUCUUCUCUCCCAAAAGCGAAGUCGAGAUGUGGAAAGAAGGAAUAAAAGGCAUGAGGAGGUUAACAAGUGGUGGAAGCUUUCUCUUUCUGUUCUCCUCCUUGUCUAAGCUUCUGAUUCAUCUCUCAUCACGAUAUGGGCAGAAGGAAUAAUCCAUAAAGAGAUGGCGGUCAACAUGAAGCAACAGAACACAUGAAAAGGUUGGAAAGUAAGGGGGAAAGCUUCGUGCAAGAACAAUUUCCGUUGUUGGGAAGGCCAAAAAGGACAGCCAUGGAGAGCGAGGUGAAGGGAAACGGAACACAGACUCCUGCAUGCAAGCAUGGCAGCCAUGGGAGGGUAGAAGAAGAUGAAGAAGAUCCAAGCAAUUCAUGACGGCUAAAACAUGAUCAUGCAACACCAAUUUCGACAGGCCCAUAUGGAAUAUGAUGCCGAGGGAUGACAACUGACCGGGGAGAUCCCAAGGUUCGCACUUGUUGAGGUCGACGUCCUCCACCAUGAUGGGCCAGCCACGGAAGCCGACGCCGCCGUCUCCGGCGAGCUUGGCCGCGAGGUAGUCGCAGAUGAGCUCUUCGUCCCUCGGGUGGAAUCUGAAGCCCGGAGGUAGCUUCGCCUCCACCAUGCUCAAGAUGCUCAUGGUGGCGUCGAUGACAGGGAGCUCACAGACUGCAACCAUGGGGUAUAUAUAUUAGUACAGGGGGGGGAAGAAGAUUGGGUAAUGUAUUAAUUAAUAGGGGCAAUAAGUCAACUUUUCAAGGGGAAUGAAUGCAGCCUUAAUCUUUUUUUUUCUCAUUUUCUUAUUUUUUUCUUCUCAAGAAAAACAAAAAACAAAAAACUCAUCCUUCUUACUUGGCAUGCUGACAUGGCCCGCGAGACUUUGUUUCUCGGAAAAAAAAAAGAUUUUACUAUCAAGAUCUUUAUCGGCUAAAUUAAAUAGUAUCAUGAAAUCAAUGCAAUCCACAAUUAUUUUUUUGAUAAUUGAAAGAAGGAAAGUGGCCAUUCAUACUUGUCAUCCUGCAUAGUGGGAUAUGACACAGGAGUAGUUGCUCAAUUUGCUUGCUUCUGGGUUCAACAUCACCACCAGUGUUGAUCACUAGCAGUUGAACCACUAGUAUUCUCACUACAUCGCAUUCACAGACACAGAUUUGAAUGGUUAAGCAGUGGAAUGAAAAAUGUCAAUCACACAUUCAGAAUGAUUUUUAAGGAUAAGUCACAAGUUACAAUCCAUCAGAAAGUAGAAUCCAGUUUUGAUUACAAGAAAUUGUGUGUUGUCGUGACUUUGGCAUCCGAGCACACCUGUCCUCAGUGUUGUCGUCUAAUGGAAGAUGAAAGGGGCCAUCACCCAUCCAGCAGAGGUGGAAGAUGAACCUAAGCAGUUUGGACAAUGUCUGAUGCUUGUGGCCAUGGCUCUGCAUAAAAAUCCAUGAUGCUCCAAUCACAUGGCACAGCAAUGGCAGGGAGCCAGGUGGCCUGCACCAGCCAGCCAUCAUCCAUCCCCAUCCUGAUUAACCGAUCAAGAUCAGUGACACACAAACAGAAGACAGCAUCGAUCCAACGGUUUCAGGCGUCAGUGAAGGCAUCUCCAGAAAGCGAAGAGCGGUUCCAGGAGCAGUAUCAGCUUGGAAGAGAAAGAAGAGUGUCCAUGCCCAUGUCAGCUGGGAUGAGAUCAGUCCAAGUGUAGUCUCUGUUACACAAAAGUGAUGAGAAGAUGACUCCAGCUCGCAAAGAGAUAAGGUUUGAGGUGAUUCUUACCUUGGUAGUGUUCGGUCGGUUUGAAUAGUCUCCAAAACAAUAGCUGCCAGUCCUUUCUCCCAUCCCUAUGAUAGCUCCAUUGCUGUCAGGUAGUAGUGAAGGUAACAUGGCCAAUCCAAAAGACCCUGAUUUGCCAAAACCAUUAUUGGAUGGUGAAAGAUUUACCUAGUGCAGCCUAUCGGAUGGGCAACCACAUUAACAGCUUGCUAGGAAUCAGACCAUAGAAAAUGCGCUCCAGGUCCUGGUCAAACCUGUCAUCAGCCACUAGUCAGAGAGACUUUUCAGUUACCUUCCCAUAAGUGAUCAAAAUUUCAGAAAAAUAUACCCACACUUCACCAUUACUUUAAAUCAACUUUUAAGAUGAUUCCUUAGAUCUAUCAUGCAUAUCACAACUUUUUCCUAUUAAAAACCUUACGGAGCAAGAUUUCUACUUUGGAUUUGCUUGCCUCACUUGGCACUUGAGUAUGCUCGACUUUUAUAGAGAGAUCAAUAGCUCCAGCGAACAAUAAAGUUGCUGAUGUAUCAACCAAUUUUUUUAGGACAUCUGGUUCCACUCAGGAAAAUCGAAUCCCUAAUAAUCUAGUAGAUAUUUUCACUCUCAUCUAUUGCAUCUAUCCUAUAACUAAUGAAGUCUACUUCCUUAUAUAUANNNNNNNNNNNNNNNNNNNNNNNNNNNNNNNNNNNNNNNNNNNNNNNNNNNNNNNNNNNNNNNNNNNNNNNNNNNNNNNNNNNNNNNNNNNNNNNNNNNNNNNNNNNNNNNNNNNNNNNNNNNNNNNNNNNNNNNNNNNNNNNNNNNNNNNNNNNNNNNNNNNNNNNNNNNNNNNNNNNNNNNNNNNNNNNNNNNNNNNNNNNNNNNNNNNNNNNNNNNNNNNNNNNNNNNNNNNNNNNNNNNNNNNNNNNNNNNNNNNNNNNNNNNNNNNNNNNNNNNNNNNNNNNNNNNNNNNNNNNNNNNNNNNNNNNNNNNNNNNNNNNNNNNNNNNNNNNNNNNNNNNNNNNNNNNNNNNNNNNNNNNNNNNNNNNNNNNNNNNNNNNNNNNNNNNNNNNNNNNNNNNNNNNNNNNNNNNNNNNNNNNNNNNNNNNNNNNNNNNNNNNNNNNNNNNNNNNNNNNNNNNNNNNNNNNNNNNNNNNNNNNNNNNNNNNUAUACAUAUACAUAUGUAUGUAUGUAUGUAUGUAUGUAUGUAUGCAUGUAUGUAUGUAUGUAUGUAUGUAUGUGUGUGUGUGUAUGUAUAUAUAUGUGUAUAUGUAUAUAUUUAUACAUAUAUAUGUAUACAUAUAUAUGUAUGUGUAUGUAUAUAUAUGUGUAUAUAUAUGUAUACAUAUAUACAUAUAUAUAUAUAUAUGUGGUGAAUCAUCACUGAAGCACAUUGUCAGAAAAACUACCAUUAAAUCUCAUUCAAAUUGCACUAGUCAAAUACAAAGUUACAGUGACAAUUAUAAAAACAAAGAAAAUGAGAAGGGAUAGUUGCCAAACCCCAACUAGAGACUUGCAAAAUAAAAGGUCAGCAGGCUGGAGCAGCCAUGAUCUCUGUAUAUAAGCCAAAACAGGGAUAAUAAUGAGGUACAAGGAUAACCAGUUAGCUCUAAUGUGAGAUGCACAUCACCUUCUCAUCCCACUGUAUAGAUAUGAAAUUUAGUUUCAUCAGAAAAACAUAGAAUAUGUGUUAAAUACAGAAUAUAGGCCAAACUUCCAAGGUUAUUCAAUGCAUUAGAUAGUUUGUAUGGUGGUAUGUAGUUUUUUCUUCAGUAGUGUAGGAUGCAGUAGCUGUUAUGAAAAGUCAAGGUGAUUAGUAACUCAACUAGAUGAGAACAUAAAAGUCACUCUCAUCCAACCCACCAAGCUGUGGCUUUAUAUACUUGUUUUGCAAACUCUGAGAGUUGAGUCAGAGUUUCCAUCUUAAGAGAGAUAAAGACGUAAACCUUAUCAUUGGAAAAACAAUUCAGAACGCUUCUUCCACAGUCAGAUAUUAGUUAGCACCGAAUGUCUAGUUAUUUUUUAAUAUAUCUUUUUCAAAACCAAUGGUAUAAACUAUGCUAAUAAUAUUCAGAGUAUCCAUGAUGAAAAAACUCCAUAAGGGAAGAUAGAGGACAAAAGAGGUAAGGUAACAACUCCGAUAUAUUCUAACAAGUUAUCUAAGACUGCAAAUGCAAUGUGAUCUUCACCACAACUGAGAAAUGCAAAGAGCUUUAGAAGACCUGUCCAAUGUCAUUAAGGAAGGCUAGGAAUUCAAUAUUGUUUCGGUUCAUCAGGCUUGGAAGUGUCUAUACAAAAUACAAAUAAGUUCAGUUACAAAAGGGCAGGUCCAGCUACAUGUGAACAUGCGACAAAAAAAAAGUUAAUGUUCCGUUUCCUACUGCAUGUUUUUUAUACAUUAUCCAAGUCAUUAUCAGUACGAAGCCCAUCACUACCAUAAGCAUCAGUGGCAUAGACUUUGAUGAUUAUCAGAGAAGAAAAUUGGGAAGGCACAUCUUGGUUUAAUAACUCUUGAAGACUAAACUUCUAAUGAGAUCUACAAAAUCCAACAUUUUAGAAACACUGACAAGUGGUUGUGCAUAGAUGAAAUAUAAAUGCCAUGUGAUAUAAAAUAGAAGUAAGAAAAAUGAAGUUGGAGUGGUCUGAGCUAAUGCUACAGUACAUGUUGUUGAUAAAGCAAUUUUGUUCUUUCUUAUAUCUAUCAAAGAAUAAUAUACAUAUAAGAAAAUACAAUUCAUUCCAUGAGAUUAGCAGCAAGUGUGAUGCCGACAAACCUUCAUUAUUGAAUUUGUAAUGGCUAAGCCUUCUAAAAGGAAGAAAUAGAGAAGAAUUUUUUUUUUCUUUAUUCCAUGAGAUUAUCAACAAGUGUGAUGCUGACAAACCUUCAUUAUUGAAUUUGUAAUGGCUAAGCCUUCUAAAAGGAAGAAACAGAGAAGGAAAGCUUAUAAUUUUCUUUAGUUUUCAAGCUGUUUGUUUUAGGGUUGCCCAUCAAAGAUUCAUAUUCCCAUAAUAAUUCAAGAAACCAUCAAGAAUGAAUUAAGUGAUUAGAGACUUAUCUGUGUGUCAAGGUUAGAAAUCCUAAAAGUAUGUUGGCUAACAAAACAAAUUUUUGUUGUAAAAUGCUAAAAUCUUUCACGAAAAGUAUUCUUGUCAGUCAGAAAGCAUGAGUAUAUGUUUGCUACAAAAUAAUCUCUUAUCUUGAAAUUUAUGAUGAAAAAAAAUCCCCGUUGAGUUGAUCUAAUAUUUUAGCAGAAUCUGACUUUUAGACAUGAUUUUCCUGUUCCCAUAGUGGUUGAUACUUUCAUUUAUUUGACAUGUCAGAUGGAUAAAUAGAUUGUCUUAAGUCUUCACUAUGAAAAAUUGAGAAGUGGCAAAAACUUUGCUAUGUAAACCUACAAAUAUAUGUUGCUUAGUUGCUCAAAACAGUCAAACACACAAAUCAUGAACCUACCAUUUCAUGGCUCAGAUGUAAGAACUCACAGGAUUGAAGGAAUCACAAUCACAGUCAACAUUGUGCUUCUUGAUAAUAAAUUGCUGGAGAGCAUGCAGCCAACAGAUUUUGAAGACUGCGAUGUUAACAAAAUGCAGCAUUCCAAACCAAAAUACUCAAUUUCUGGCAAACACUGUACAGAAAAGUGAAAUAAAGAAGACUGAAGAGACCACUAGCAACCAGUGGAUAAAACAGACAAGAAGAAUUUGAUCCAAAAGAAAAACAGAAGUUCAAAAAUGUCCAUAAUUGCCUGAGGCAGGAAUUCUAUGUGUUAGUUUAACUACCUUAUAUUUUGUAUAAGUACCCAUGAAAUGCCAAGCUGUAUGAACCUAGCCAUGUAAGUUCAAUGAUAGUAUGAUAUUCAUCAGCAACAGAAGUGGUGUAUUCCAACACACAAAAAUAAAAGUUAUGCCAUUAUUUCUAAUGAUAUAAGAAACAAAUCUGUUCUGCUACUAUCAAGUCAAGAGCAUUACUUGUUUUCUACCGUACAGCAAAUUCAUCUCUCUUUAUUUGGUCUAUUUUUUUUCAUAAAAGCAAAAUUUCUAUUAAGUCAAAGGUCAGAUACACCCAGUGCUCAGUUCAUCUGAGCUCAAAAUAGCCAUAAACUGAGAAGGUAAUGGAUAUCUCCAUAAAAAUUCCUUAGAAAAUUUAGAAUAAGAAGCAAGCCAAUGAGCAUAAUAAAAAAGAGGGCAGGCUAGUGCAUGAGAUAUCUGAAGAUAGUCAAUGCGCACAAUCUUACCUGCAAAUAGAGAGAAUGUUUCCAAUUUUGAAACCUGAAAUUGAUUCUUUAAUUAAUAAAGAAUUGAACUACAUCUUUACUUACUAAUAUAUAUUUUACUAGUUUUCCACUUAUGCUGACUUUAAUUAUGUGUGCAAAGGCCAAAACACAGCCAAAAUCCCUAAACUAGAAAAACAGAAACUCUUUAAAUGGAGCUAAAACUAAGUCCCAAAUGAAAAACUUGAUCAUGUUGGUGGCCCACCAACUAAAGAAAUAAGACAUUUUACUGAGAACUGAAGACACAUUAAAAGGAAGGAUGCAAAAACAUGAGCUAAAAAAAUUUCUGCCCUUUUUUUCAAGAAGAUGAGAAUCUUCAGGAAAUCCACAAUCGAGACAACUUCCAGACUAGAGAAAUUCUUCAAAAAAAAGUAAUCUGUCUUUUUCUGUAUAGAGGCCUCUAAGAUUUCCACAGCUUAAGUGAGCCUAGAGUACCCAAGUAAUCCUAAGAUCCUCCAACUGUGAAGAUCAAAUUACAUUUUCACAUACUACAAAAGCUUCAUGCAAAAUUUUUCCUGAGCAGAUAUAUCAUAAUCAUGCAGGAAUCUAUCAAAUGUGAAAAUUUAUAUAAUAAAGAUUUUGAAACCUCUAGGUGCUAAAUCAUGGUAAAUCAAUUCAUCAUUUUGAUUUGAUCCUGCACGAGAUUUAGCAGUACAGAACUCCUUAACCUCACAAGAGAAAAAGGAAAUAGAAACAUUGCUCUUUGUAAACAGAGAGUAAUUUUCUUUUCAGAUGAAGUACUAGAAAUAGACUUUUGCUUGCCAACCACAACUAAAGCACUUAUGAAGAACCUAAGGGCGAAGAAAUUCAUCAAACACAAAAAGUAAACUACGUAAAUGGGAGUCCACGUCAGGUGAGAGACCAGAAAAGAAAAUGAAGUUCUUGGAAGCAACCACCACUAAUGCUGAGGUUCCCAUUGAUAAGUGAAAGCAUCGAGCAAAUGACCGCGGCAUUGAUGUUAGGACUUCACAAAGAAUGCAUCAAGAACCUAAAAUGAGAUAUUAAUCGAGUAAAAAGCAACGAUGUAGACUGAGGUCAUCAUAGAAACUAAAAUGAGAUGAUCUUAUUUGGGUUAAAAGAAAAACGUGGAGGUCAACAUCGCCAUAGCUGAAACUGAAAGAACAGAGAUGUGAAUCAGACAAUAAUUUAGGUUUUCGACAGAUAAUUCCAGCCACUAAUGCACAAGCAAAAACACAUGAGGCUUGAACCAAGUAAUCUCAUUUCACGGUGCAAACAAGAAAAAUUCGAAUACAUUGGAAAGGGCGUCCAAGAACAGAUCGAGAAGGCAAAUCCUAAAGAUUCUCGACCACCUCAUUCCACAGGCGUAGAACCCAGGACGAGCCACGGGUUUCUGAAGCUAAUUGAGAUGGAAGCUAGGGUUUCGAGGAAACCCUUGCAGAGAGUUUGGAGAGCCGACCGGCGAUCGGCGACAGCGGAUCCGAACCUGUAGCAGAAGGCGGGCUGCCAUCCCCAUCACCGCGAGCUCGCUCCGCCUCAUAGGCAGUCAAACCGUCCCAAGUCAGGUUUGACCCAAAAGGUCAACUCAUCUAAAAUACUUUUCAUUUUCCGAUUUAGUGUUAUUUUAUUGGGAAUGAAGACGAAGUUGGGAGCUCACAAUAUCUCACUUAAUAAUAAUAAUAAUAAUAUAUUUUAUGUAUAUGUACUAAUUCAAAUAUCAUAUCUUAUUAAUGGAUUUAAGCUUUUAAAUGAAAUAAUAAUGAUUAAUAAUUUAACAUUAUACUCAUCAAUAAUGCAAUAUAGUUGUCAAUGAUAUAUAUAUAUAUAUAUAUAGGAAAUUGGCUUUAAUUCGAUGAUAAAGAAGUCCCAAAAUUCCUCACAAAAUAUAGAAAAUAAAAGGAAUAUCCAUCAUAUGAUUAAUUCUCCUUCUUCUCUCAAAUAAUAAUUAAUAUUAGCAGGGUCUGCCGUACCGAACUGUACCGCCCGGUAUGAGCGGUACGUACCGGUCCGACAGGUUGUCGGUACGCGGACCGUCUGUUACUGGUCCGAAUGCAUUAUGCUACAAUACUCGGCACACCUGGGUGUACCACUCGAUAUACUGUAUUGUACUGGUACCGAGCCCAGAUCGAAAUACCAGUACGGUACGAUAUUACAGUACGAUAUUACAAAUCAAAAUGUUGAAUUAACAUGCUAGGGAUCCAAGUACAUGUAUGAAGGAACACAUAGGCAUGCAAUCAUAGUCAUACAUACAAACAUGAAGAAGACAGGUGGGAGACUUGAGGAAGAAGACCAUCCGAUGUGGCCCAAUCAAAGCUUCAAUCACCCUAUCCAAUCCCAACUUCUCAUCCUGCCUUGAUCCACUGCCACACACACUCGAUACGCAGAAGACCUUCUCCUUUCACUGACACCAAAAUUCACAUUAAAGCAAGAUUGAUGAGAGGAGAGCAGUAAGAGUGAGUGUGUGUGUGAGUGUGGAAGAGAGGAAGAGAUGGCCUCAACUGCAUGCUUCCUCCACCACCACGCACCCUCGACCACCAACAGGAUCCAAUCCACGCGCCUUGUGCCGAUCAACAAGCCCAACCUGAUCGUGUGCAAGGCGCAGAAGCAGGCCGCCGACGACGAGAACAGCGCCGCCGUGUCACGUCGCAUGGCCCUGACGGUGCUCCUCGGUGCCGCGGCCCUCGGCGCCAAGGUCGCCCCGGCCGACGCGGCCUACGGCGAAGCUGGUAAGUCUUCCCCUGCAGUCUCUCCCACGCCUGUCGUCGUUGUUGCGGAUACUUCGAGCUACUGUUCAUGUCGAACGCAGCCAACGUGUUCGGUAAGCCGAAGACGAACACCGACUUCCUGCCGUACGCCGGCGACGGGUUCAAGCUGAUGAUCCCGUCGAAGUGGAACCCGAGCAAAGAGGUGGAGUACCCUGGCCAGGUGCUCCGGUACGAGGACAACUUCGAUUCCAACAGCAACGUCACCGUCAUGGUGACGCCGACCACCAAGAGCACCAUCACAGGCUACGGCACCCCGGAGGAGUUCCUCUCUCAAGUAACCGACUCUUCUCCUUCCUCUUCUUCCGUCUCUAUCAGUCGUCUUGAAUCAAAUCCAUGAUGGGAUCACAUGUUCGACUAAAUGACAAGAGACAUGCAUGACCAACUUGGAUGCGUAUCUGCCACAGGUUGAUUACUUGCUAGGAAAACAAGCCUACUCCGGCAAGACAGACUCAGAGGUAGGUAAAUGAAGAUGACAGCAAGCAUCUCAUGUACUUGAAUGUGAUCGAUUUGGACACUGAACAAGGCAUGGAUUUGGUAGGGUGGGUUCGAUUCUGAUGCUGUGGCAACAGCCAACAUACUGGAGACCACCACGCAGGAGAGCGGCGGGAAGAAGUACUACUUCGUCUCGGUUCUGACGAGGACGGCGGAUGGGGACGAAGGUGGCAAGCACCAACUGAUAACAGCCACUGUUUCCGACGGGAAGCUCUACAUCUGCAAGGCGCAAGCUGGGGACAAGAGAUGGUUCAAGGGAGCCCGGAAGUUUGUGGAGAGCGCAGCCAGUUCCUUCAAUGUUGCCUGAGAGAAUGGUGGGGUGUGUUUCUCCUGCUGUGGAUGAGCUCAAGUGUUCAUGACUGUUGUCUGUCCUCCAUUUUGUUUCUCUAAGUUCUCUUGUCUAUGAUGUACAUGUUCCAUGAACUAAAACUAGAUUAUAAGUAGAGAAGCCUGCAUUUUCCUGAAGGAGUUGCCUUCAUCAAUUGGCCAGAAAAGUUCUAUCACAAAAAAAGUGUUCUAAAUCUAAUCAGACCAAAGUUUCAUAAAGCUCAGGUCAGCAUGAAUUUUACUAAAAACAGAGGCUGCACAAUUUUUCUUAAGCAACAUGUCAAAUUUACAUUUUCUGCAUAAUUUUUCAUUACAGAAACAAUUGAAUACAUCGGUCAUAAGGAUGUCCAUGAUAUCCAGUGGAAAGGAGAAUAUAUGUUGUUCUUCAACUUACCUAGAACAAUGCAGCUAGAACAAGCUCAAAGAGUUCAUUUUUGAGCCACAUAAAUUAGUCUGUUCUUGUUCUUCAUUCACAGCUCAGUAAAUCUGCAUACUGAUACUUGAUGAUAAAAAGAUGUGUUUUUAACAUUAUUUGUCACUCAUUCCUCUGAUUACAUCCAGAUGUUUCAAAAUGUAUACAAAUUGAAUAAAGAAUGAGGUCGACGUAAGCGGCAAAGUGAAGGAAAAAGUCAGCACCUCUUUCUGGUUAAGGUGGAUUUAUGCUUGGUCUUCGAGAUGACAGACAAGGGAAUGAACAACUUGUGGCCUAGGUUUCCAUAAAGGCCAAUCCCCCCAAAGCUGGCAGAGGUGCUGUUCAUGGUUGAACCCAGGACAAUAGUUAGGUUUUGUUGCUGGCCGCUCGCUAUAAAAAACCGUGUUGGUGAUACAGAAACUGAGACUCCAUAAGGAGCACUCCAGCUGACACUGUAAUGCUCAUCGUUUGCAAUGUUGGUAACUCUUCUCAUGAUGAUUCUUGAUUGAUUGAGCAAUGAUAUGGUUACCGAAGGUAAAUUCAGGUCUGAGCCCAUCAUUGUGGAGAUCUUACAGUUGUGGCCAGUGUAGUUCAGUACUACUGGAGCAGAUCCAUUGAUGCCACAAAGAAAGGAGAGGAAGUUGUCGUAGCCUGCAAAAAAUAUGCAACCAACCACAGUUAUAAGGCAACAAAUCAUGCAAGUUUUUGCCACAAGUUCAUGGUGAAUGCAUACUUCUACUAAUUAUUGAAGCUAAUGGUGUAUAAGUAACCUGAAUCGAGAAUUAGUCCUGGAUUUAAAGCAGCAGUUGCGUUGACAAAGCCACUGCCCAUGUCAAAUGGUGUUGCAGGUGACAUGUUGGAAUCUGGAUUGCUGUAAGCUCGUUGGGCCAUGAUCGGUGAACCCUGCUUGCCAUAGACUGUGGCGGUUGUGGAUAGAGCAGAACCAAUGGCUGAAGGACUAAAAUUUGGAUAUUUCUGCUUGAUCAGAGCAGCAAGCCCAGCAACAUGUGGAGCCGCCAUACUUGUCCCAGAUAUCAUUGCAAAUUUCUCACCUACAAGCAUAUGUUUCAACUUUCAAUAUCGAAACAUCUUUAGUAACCCUGAGAUGAAGCAACUCUAUUCAAAGGAAGAAUAACAUGUAAGAAUCAUUACAGAUACUUGAUUCAGAUGACAAGGGGUUUUCCUGCAUUUAGAACUUUUUAUGGCUUAAGCAUGGGUUGACAUAUCCAUCAUUCUUUUCAGUUCUUCAUGAAACUUCUUACACCUCUACUUGGUUUCAUGAGUUUUAUUUAGCUACGUAGUUGUGUAUAGUAUACUCACUAAACAAAUUGAUUAUUUAGACAAUAUCUCAUGGACCCCCUCCACAUGGAGUUGCAGUUGUUAGAAACUUAUCAGCAAUUCAAAUAGUUGAUAUCAGUUUAAAGUCCCCUAACAUGUUUCUGAAAAUGUAUGGAUCAUAUUAUAUCAGCAAAGCCCGGAUUCAUAUCGAUAACAAAGGACUUGUUGGUAAAAGGCUACAUGACUUUACAUAAAAUCUGCUUACAUGUCUGUGACUCGAGUCAUGAUAACCAUUAAAUAUGUCAGAGUUAAGUGCUAGACUCCAUGAUUCAUGCAUCACAAAUGUACAAAAUUUUGUUGCAGUGUUUGUCAAAGAAUAUGAUAGUACCUUCAAAUUCAGCAGAAUCUGUGCCCAGGGAACUCCAAGCACUCCAGAUGAAAUUGCCAGGAGCGAUUAGAUUGGGUUUCAGUAUGUCAGCAUCAACCAAUGAAUUGUCUUCUGGGUCCGGUCCUCUAGCUGAAUAAUACAUUACUUUUGGGGCAGAGAUGCUGUAGUUAGCUUUAAGACCUCCUAAUAUUUUUGCAACACCACGAAACUUGAUAAUGGUUUUUGAGUCUUUGUCUCUCAUUAAGGAGCUGUUGUAAUAUUUUAGGAAUAUCUUAAACAAGCCAAAGAUCAAGAAUUAGUACCAUCAAAGAAAUGAUCACAUGAUGCAAGAAAACUUCAAAGCAACUACUAGGAUGCCUUGUUGGGAGUGAGAAUGGAACGAGAAAACGAAUAAGAUGAUGAAAAAGGAGACAACAAAAUACAAGUUCAUAUUUUGCAGGCAUUCAGUCAUCAAAUCUCAAGAAUAACCCAAGUCUCAAACUUUGAUAUUGAUAUACAGAAAUAGAUAUUUGAAGGGAAACAAGUUCCUUGGUAGAUCUUUGUCGUGGAAAACACGAGCAUGUAAUCCUAAAUCAGAAACAAAAUAAAAAGUAAUUAAAACACCAAGACUAGCACUUUGGGAACAGUUGCAACAACUGAUGAAAAAUUAAAAACAGAAAUAAGGGGUGUUUGCAUAAAAUACAGGACAACCUGCAAAUUUGAGCUAAUACUCCAAGUUGUAAGUUAUUGAAUAGUAAAAAAAAUGCAUAAAGAUAAAUAUUCUCCCCCUGCUACUCUACUAGGUUUCUUAAUUUAACUAGAAAUUAUAACUAAAAAUUUAAAUAAUUUCAACUUAACUAAAGAUAUAUCUUUUCCAAUGGUGGCAAAAGAUCCAUGUCACCCUGAUCCCAAAAAGAUCCUAGUUGGGACUUUGCGGCCUACUAGGUUUCUUCAGUAUAGCAACACAUAUAAGAUUAAGAUAGUUCUUAAUGGGCAUACCUUGGAAUCAUCAGGUGAAGGAAUUAUAAGACCAGGCAUAUGCAUAGGAGUUGGGUUGAGCUGGAACCCAAUAACAAAUGGAUCCAUGUAAAAUAUAACUCCAACUGCACUCACAUUCUUUGCUGACUGUAAUGCUUGCUUGAUAGAGGACAAGCCCAGCACAAAUCGGAUGGAAUAACUGCAAACCAAAAGUUUUCCUUUAGUUAAAUCUUUGUUUAGAAGACUUGAAUCCUGGCAUUCUGCCAAAUACAUAUCAUUUGCAUCUGUUGUCUCAUUUGUCAAGGCAUGAGUAGCAGCAAUGAGAGGAUACAUUAAGUCACCAUCUGUUCCAGCUGCAAGUUUUAAGAAUCGUUAGCUCAAAGCUAUAUGCGUCCACUCAGCAUGUGGUAGAAGUAUAUUGGAAAAUGAGAAAAGAGUUUAAGUUAAUGCAAUUCAGAAAGUUAGGUUAUCAAGUUUCACAUAACUCUAUUAUUGAUAAAACUUAGCUACGAGAGACAAAUAGAAUGCAAAACAAGGCAAAUUGAAGAUUCACAUUUAUCAUCUAUUGCUGAAGUGCAGAGUUUAAACUUACGUGCAAGUCCUACUCCUGAAAUUUUCAGGUUGUUCCCAAGUACAAGAUGGUUACUGUAGAUUCUAUCAUGAGCAGAUGCACCAACGGUAAAUAUCCAAGGGCUAAAGGAAGACACGCUCUUCGGUGAAGGUCCAGUAUUGCCUGCAGCUUGAACAACAAAUAUUCCAGCUUUUACAGCAUUCAGCAACGACAUAUCUAUGGGAUUGAAAAAGGUUGCUACACCAAGAGGGCGCCUGUUGGGAGUGAUGGAUAAACUUAUGAUGUCAACACCAUCUUGAGCUGCCUGUGAAUGCAAACGAUUACAAAUGUCAGAAAAAUUGUACAGUGAAGCCUAACUGAGAAUUAUGAAAAUGUAAACUACUUGAUGUGUACAAAUCUGGACUUAGAUUUAAUUCGCUGAAUUAAGGCAUAUAAUUUUCUCUUCCUCCUUUUUGGAAUAUUUUUUUCUCCUCUCGAUUUACUUUCUUUAGAUCUCUUGUUUCUUUCUUUACUUUCUUCAGAGAUGGAAUUGACACCUGUGUACCUGGUCUAUAGCAGCGACAACAUCAGCUGCAAAGCCUCCAAAACUUUUGUACAAAGCUUUAUACACUGCAAUACUGAAAAAAUUCGAGUGGUUAAAAUCAAUCUUGAAGUGAAAAGGACACCAUCUAUGGUCUAUCAUAGACUAAAAAGAAGUAGUGGCUUACUGCGCACGAGGGGCCAUGCCACUUGCAUUUCCAAAAUGAUGUCCAGACACAACAACAGGAAUCCCAUGGUUACCAGCUGCAAUGGAUGCUGUGUGCCUGCAUUUAUCGACUAUCAUUUUACUAUACAAAAAAAGGAUUUUUAGAAUAAAAUAGAAUUCACCUAAUCUCGAUUUUGACAAGCAAGAAAUAUAUCAUGGAUCAUACAUAGAUUCGGAAUUCUAUUACUGUUAUUCCAGCUUAACAAAGCUAAAGUUACAAAGAUUACAAUAUCAUUAAAAUGUACCAUAAAUUAGUGAAGGACAAAUUCUAUGAAACUCAAGAAAGAGAAGACACCAAAGAAACAACAUAUAUAUAUAUAUAUAUAUAUAUAUAUAUAUAUAUGUAAUUUCUAUAUUGUACAUCUAGUGGAAGUGAAAGCCACUUACGUUCCAUGUCCAUCACCAUCCAAUGGUGAAGCAUGGUCCAGGGUAGCAUUGAAAAUCCCCCUGGUUAUUGCAGAAGCAGCAAAAUGUCGAGCUCCGACUAGUUUUCUGUUACAUGAUCCAGCUGGAAAAUCUUUUGUGACUUCACAAAUGCCAGAAAAAUGAUGUGGAAUUGGGUAACGAUUGACAGAUAGAUAAUCAGAGAAGCUGGGGUGAGUUGGAUCUAUCCCUGUAUCAAUGAACCCAAUAACAAUUCCUUCUCCAGCGACUUCAGGCCCUCCUUCUUGAACCCAUGCUCCUUGAGGCAGACCUAAAAAUUCUGGAGUGUGGGUGGUUGCAGUUCUAACUGAAAAAUCUAACAAUACAUUUGCUACUUCAUGCCUCCUUGAAAGUUUUUCUGCCUUUUCCAUCCAAGAAGAACACUUUAUAUCAGAUAGGAAACUGAAAAUGCAACCCGUGUAACUAAAUUAAUUUUGAAAUAAAUAAUUACAGUUAUAAGAACAAAAAUCAUGGUUUGGAUAUUAUAAGAAUGUGCAUGAGGCAUAGAAAUCCAAGCCAGGACUCAAAUGAAAUAUUCAAAUAAAAAUAGUACUUGUCAGCUUUCUGAUCAAGAUAGUCUUAUUAUUUCACCUUUUAUUGAAGGCAAAAGGAGUAAGUGUAUCACCACUGGACUAAAUUUGGAAGGAGAAUGACUUUACAAACACUAUCUACUUUUAAAAAUUUAAACAUGCCAUAAAAUUUUCCUAAUUUAAGAUAUAUGGCUAAAUGAGCCUUGUAAUUUUAUAUAUAGUUAAUUGAAAAAUACAAGUUUCCAGCUUUUGACCGAAAAACGUAUCAGUAAGAAUUGUUUGAGAAAAUCACAAAGCUCUUGUAUACCUCUUAGGAAUGGGACUACUGAAGCUUAAUCUAUGGCUCAUUUUGGAAAGUGACAAUGUUUGAUAACCUUGGACACAAGAAUUUUAGUUUUCAUAAUGAAGUAAAUAAUUCAUGCCAAUGCUCCAAAGCAAAAUUGAGAAAAAUGCCCAUCAAACCAAACCACAAGAGCAUAUAGGCAUAGAGGAGAGGAUAGGCAGUAUAUAAACUAGCUAAGUUUAAUAUAAUGCAACUUUGGAAACUCAUAAAUCAAUGUAAUAUCACACCCAUGGCAUCUUCUCACAUAUUAUUAACUAGACACCUGUAUUGUACUCUUUAGCAUCAACUAUUUCACAUAAGUUUGAGAACUCUAAUUAUAACUUAUUGGUUUGGCCCAAACAACCUUCAAUUAUCUAGUCUAUCAACCUAAUGGAACUAAAAAUAAACAGUAGAUGAACAAGCGUAGUCGUGUCAAGUACCUGUUGAGAAGUUAUAAGAACAGAAAAGCCAUUGAUUAAGUAAUGAUAACUAUAGAGUUUGAGAUAUCUUUCCCCCCUAAAUGCCCUUCUCAACAGAGAAUUCUGAAGGCGAAUCAGAUAUGAGCUGUAAUUUGUAUUUGUCCUUGAAUAAUUCCUGCAGUUCAGACAGUUCAAAUAAGUUGAUCACUAUAAUUCAUGAAACAACUUAGACAGGAGAUUUCAAACAAGGGAACUCGGAUGAGGAGCAUCAAUUAAGGAACAAAUAAAUGGAUAAGAUUUCACCUGCAACGGACAGGUGUAUUGCCAUCUACAACGAAAAAAGCAGAGUGACAGUCAACUAGAUGGAAAUAUGACUCUCCAAUUAGUCUCAUAUUUGAAGUAGGACAAGAGUCACGAUGGUAUAUAAGACUCUCCAAUUACUGACAGUCAACUAGAUAGAAAUAUGACUCCAAUUAGUCUCAUAUUUGAAGUAGGACAAGAGUCACGAUGAACUUACUGCUGAUAACUUGAGCUGCAGGUCAUAAUAACUGGUAUUAAAUUUGAAUUAAAACUAGGCAUAUGAAGUUUAAGGGUUCCAGAGAGCAAACAACUAAACGUGGAUAAGCCAAGAGUGCAUUACACUAUAAGCUUCACAAAUCACAUACUAUAGAUUGAUCCUUGACUUUAUGUUAGACCUUGCACCUUGACAAUGAUGUCAAGCUUUUGUGACAUGUAUCACAUCAAAAGUAAGAGAGGAUUGUGAUGGUUUAUAAAGCUAGAUGGAUCUACCAUAAAUAGCUAAGGCAUAAGCAUUUUCAUUUGUGAUGGUAUAUAAGCCUAGAUCUAUCUGUUACUAAUUUGGAUUAAGUAUUUUUAAACCAUGUGUUAAGCCUGAAAGUUAUUGGGUUUGCAGAUCUAUUAGACCAUGCCAUGACAAUAGAAGUUUGGCCUAUGGGAUGUUAAGUGUAAAGAAAAUUCUGUUAUGUAAUAAAAAAAAAUUAAUGGAUUGUGGAAAGACAUUAUUGCUUCACAGAAACAGCAAAAAUGUGAACUGAAGUAAAUUUGUUCUCAAUUAAAUUGAUAAAAUAUACUAAUGCUUUGAAAUAUUCUUUGUUAUUUAGGCCGUGCCUGCCUAUAACUUCAGGAUCUUAUGCCAAUCGAUGCUGCAGUGGCAAACCAUGAUCUGGGCCUUGAGAAUUUUCGCUAAACUGCACACCAAGUAUUGGUAGGAGCAUAAUCUUUGUACCAUGGAAACAUCAAAACCAGUCAAAAUUAGAGUGCAUAAUUUUCUACCCCAUGAUCUAGAUCGACUAGAAUAAAAUAAGUAUUGAACGAUGAGGCACCACCAUCUUAGAAUGAUCUGAUAUAAAACUGAAACCAGUACAAUACAUAAAUAAAUGGACUAUAUCACAUAUUCACACUCUAUAGCUAUAUAGAACAGUCCCAAUCUUGAAAUGCACAUCAAAGACAAUCACAAAAACAAACACAAAACUUUUAGGCAUAUAUAAUACAAUUUUUGACGAAGAAACCCGAAUCUGUAGUCCUCUUGAGUGAACGAAUCGUGACAAGUCAUCUGUCUCAUAAGUCAAACUCUAAUUUUACAGCAGUGACCAGUCAUCAAGUCCCAUAAGUCAAACUCUAAAACAUAGCUAUGUAGAACAGAUCUAAUCUUGAAAUGCACAUAAAAGACAAUCAUAAAAACAGGGAAGAACUGUUAUGCAUAUUAAUCAUAUGAUUUUUGACGAAGAAGCCCAAAUCUGUAGUUGACAUGAGCGAACCAAUAGUGACCACUUAUCAUGUCUCCUAGGUCAAACUCACUUUACAGCAGUGACCAGUCAUCAUGACCCACAAGUCAAACCCUAAUUUUACAGCACUAACAAUCAAUGACUUCUGCCAAUGAAAUUGAUAACCCAAAAGUCCAAGAUCAACAUACAAGUAAAAGAUCAGAGAAAAUCAAGCACUAUUUUACCCACCUGAUAAAACAGACCUUGUUAUGUUAAAGAUUGAAUGCUACAAUAUCUGCAAGUUUCCAAAGAUAUAAAUUAAAAGAAGGCAUUACCUUGUUUUAUUGAGGAUAUUGAAGGUCUGAGAGCCCCCAUAACUGACCCCACUGCUUGCAAACGUCUUCAGCUCAUCAAUGUAAUGGACUGCAGGGGGCUGCUUCAUGGUCACAAUGUACACAGCAGCAUCCUCUUGGCAUAGGCCUCCUAACAAAAGACUCAAUAGAGAAAGCACGAAGAAAUGCACCAGAAGUCCUUCCAUUUGGUUACACACCAAGCAGCGCAGGAGUCCUCAAAACUCCAACCGAGAAAUCUUCGACUCCCCCAUACAACCCGAACUCAGUGCAGUUGACACAGUAAAGGAAAGCAUGCUCUAACCUUGAACCGUACCCUUCCCUCUCUAAUGCUUCACUCUUUCACAAGGAGAGGAUGGCACAAGACCUCACUCACUGCUGCUCAGCUAAAGGAUAAACAAUGCCAGUUAGUAGAUGCAUAAAGGAAAAGAGGGGAGGAGAAAGGAAGCAUCUGAAGCUUUCUUCUUUAGCUUUCGGUUGGUGUGGGAUGCAGAACUUUUUAUACAUGUGUUCUGGGUGUAAUACAUUUGACUGUUGGGUUGGUGAGCGUCAGCUAGCUACUGCUACCAAAGAAGGAGGAAGAAAAGCCGAGAGAGAGAAAAAGCGAGAGAUCUACCGGGAAGUUGAUGGCCUGAGGUUGUUGGGUGAAGUCCAUCACGGUGCCUCUGGGUUCUUCCCAAGGUGGAACUGUGCAAGACCACCAUGAUAGUGAAAGUCUUGUGAUUAGCGCAGUAAUUAACAAUAACCAUAGAGAAUAAUUACUGCUGGAUUAUAACUAGUGAUUGAAAUCAUUGGAUACAGUGUCAAACAGAGGGGGCUUCGAGGUGGAGUCCCUCCCAAUGGCUCUGUGUUCUUCCCAAGGUUGCAAUUUUCUGUGGAGUUGGUGAGCUUGCCUUACUGUGCCAGUCCACCAUUGUUAGCAAACUCUUGUUAUAAGUGCAGUGAUUAGUGUGACUAUGAGCUUAGAGAAGAAUGCUCUCAGAUUGCAUGCAUGUAGUGAUUGAAGUCAUUGGGUACUGUGUCAAACAUUGAGGACCACUUCUUCAUCAUUCUCAAAGCUUAUUUACAUCAGUUUUUUAACAGCAGAUAAGCUAAAUGCAAGCUCAUAAAAGCUUCCAAGAUUGCCCAUUUAUACAGUGGCUUGAAGCCCACCCAUGGGUGCAGGCUGCUGCAAGCAUAAUCAAUGCAUGCGACCACAUGCAUACUGGGGUACUGCACAGUGCUCUUUUGACCUUUCGCUUUUGAAGGCUUUUGACUACCUUUGUCAGAGAAAAGCAGAAGUAAUGGCAGACUGCCAAUGGCAUUUAAGAACAGCUGCACUCCUCCAUGUGCACACAGCUCUCUGGUGAAGGAACAAAAGCAGGGAAAGCUUCUUCUUCCUUGAGAUAAUAAACAUAUCACCUUAUGCUGACACUGAAAGGUCUCCGCACUUUAUUCCCCUCAUAAUCAUGUCUGCAGCUUUGCUUUCUCACACUAAUUUCUGUAUUGGUUCUGCCAUAAUAUCUCUUACACAUGAAUCGUAAAGGGGAUAGGCGACGAAGUAAAGAUGAACGGAUCGGCUCUUUCGAGCUGGAAGCACCUGAGCUGGUGGGAGAAUCCAAUCCAUCGGUUCAGCGGCGGUUCUGAGGAAGAGAGGUUCGCACUCCUCAAAGCCCAGCCCGUGAUCGGCGUACUCUGCGUCUCCCUCGGGAAGCGAGGCGCGUUCGUUCGCGGCGAAGAAGGCGACGUCGCGUGACGAAGCCAUCCAUGCACGGAGACGGACGUGAGGGAAGCCUCGGGAGUGCCGUCGUCGUCUCUGUUGACCCGUGGCCCAGUCAAAGAUGCUGAUGUGGAACACCAUCAUUGGCCUGUUCUGGCAUCGAAGUUGACUCCAUGAUCAAAUGAUUUGAUAUGAUGUGGUUACAUCAUUUGUGCUUCCAAUCAACAUAGCACUGCCAUGGCAUUGACUAAAGAGAUUACAAGACUAAGCAUGCUUAAAGAGAUUGAAGUGGAUCAUGACGAAUGAGAUAAAUAAAACUAGUUCAUAAUGUGCCACUCUUGUGUCGAGAUGAUCCGCUCCACUUAGGUUUAAUUGUCGUGGUAUAGUGCGGAGGUCCAACCAUAGCUCCAUAGCAUGAUGUACUCAUCUUCAUCGAAUGUUACCAACUUGAUGCGAUCAAUUGGGAGUUGGUCCGACUUGAUUUUAGCUCGAUGAAUCUUCUCCGGAAAGAGAGGAGUUGUUGAGGUUAGAUUCGAGCUAGAGAGGGUGAUUAUGUGGUUAUCUCGAGGUGAGGUUGAAGUAUGUUUGAUUUCCAUCGGGCCCUUCACGAUAGGUCGAUAUCGAAUGGAAUUUUCGACAUGAUCCAUCUAAAACUUAAAUUAGACAAAGGGAAUCAUAUUUAUAUCAUGUGAUUUUUUUCUGAGACUAAUCCUCUUUUCAUGUGUCAGGAUUAGUUUUUAUACUUGUAAAAUUGAUGGGAGGAAACUAUAGUAACAAGGGGCACCCAUACCUCUUGUGAUGCAUUCAUGCAGGCCAUCGACCCGUACAACUCCCAAUGACGUAGGUCGACCUAUUCUUAGUGCGAUGUCGAUCCGUACAACCCGUACGACAUAAGGUUGGCGGGAGAUGACCGAGGGGAUGCCGAUGUUUUAAUUGAAUUAAAAUCAAUACUAAUAUGAUUAUAUAUAGCUCUCAUAAUUUAUAAUUUUUUUUAUUUAUUAUGGGAUAAAAUUGAGGUGUUACAUACAAUAAAUAAAUAAAUAAAUAAAUACAUAAAUUUUAUAUAUAUAUAUAUAUAUAUAUAUAUAUAUAUAUAUAUAUAUAUAUAUAUAUACUAUUAAAAAUUCAAUUCCUCUACGCCAUUUUUAUGGCAUAAAGGGGAAGCAAAUGGGCAAUUGAGGAAUUGGGAGAAUUGGAGGAUUGCUAUGUGCCUUUCAGUUUUAUCUUCGUCGUCCAUGAUGAGAUCAAUGAGAAGGGGUUUCUUCUGCAGUAGCGCUGCGCUCAGGUGGGAAGGUGGGGUUUCCAUGGUGCAGGGCGCUUCAAGGGGAAUCGGCCUUGAAUUCGUAAGCAGAAGAUCUCUACCCACUUCACUCGUCUCCUCCCUUUGUUUCGAGUCUCGUGGCAGAUUAUUAGUGUAGAUCUUAAGUAUAAAUGUAAAUCCAGGUUCGUCAAAAACUUCUUCUGAUUUAUUUCUGGUUAUGUGUAUGUCCGGCUCGGUGGAUACAGGAAUAAAAGACGGUGUCUUUGAUGUGGAUAACUGGAUAUCUGCAAAUGGGCAGAUUAGUAGUCUGGAAAUUUGUGCUUAUUUUGGAAUGCAUAUGUGGUCUUGAAUUGGACAGACAGUGUCAUGCGAUGAUAAGAGGGAGAAGAUAUAUGUCAGUUAAAUUGCUGUGACAACAUAAAUUUUAUCUUUCUUUGAGUUGCGUUGAUAAGAGGGAGAAGAUAUAUGUCAAUAAACUUGCUGAGGCAACAUAAGUUUGAUCUUUUCUUGAGUGACGUUGCGACAGAGAAGUUAAUUUGGUUAGACAGUUUGUGUUUGGCAAACAAAGAAUCUAUUGCCAAAUAACCACCAGAAAUAGAACAGUUUGGGAUCCACCAAGAAACGUUUCUGGAAAAAAAAUUGCUUCAUUAUAUUUUGGCAUAUGAGUCAAACAUUAUUAAUAGGCUGUUAUUGAUAUCUACUUUCCUAGUGCAUACUAAAUAUCCUUCACUUCACUUGUAUUCUUCCGAAUGUUCUGUGGGUUUUUGAUGUUACUUUUAAGAAAGGGGGAAAAUGUAAAAUAUAAUCCAUGCUACCUUAAAUGCUUCUGUUUGUUAUAGCUUGUGUUCAAGUUUAUUUAUUUGGGCUCUUAUGUGGGAAGAUAAUUUCUACCCCCUUUCAUAAGUUCUACAUUUGGUUCUGAAAGUUUAGUUGUGUGAUUAUAUUGAACACAUUCGCCCAAGAACUUUGACGUUUAUAUUUUGUAGCUCUAGCACUCAAGAAAAGGGGAAAAAGUAAAAUAUAAUCCAUGCUACCAAAUAAAUGCUUCAGUUUGUUAUGGCUGGUGUUCAAGUUUAUUUAUUUGGGCUCUUAUAUGGGAAGGUAACUUUUUCCCCUUUUUAUGAAUUUGGUUAUGGAGUUUUAGGCAUGUGAUUAUAGCGAACACAUUCACUCAAGAACUUUGUCAUUUAUAUUUUGUUGCUCUAGUAGUGUGUUUUAAUGCUCUUCAUGUUCUUUAUGAUGUUAAUACACUAACGAACCUAGGACAUGGAGAGGAUCCACUGUGAUGUAAGAGCUCCUUACAUUGGCAAGAAAGAAAAUUUGGCUUCGAGUAUAUUGGAAGUUGAUGCUUGGUUAGAUGCCUCUGCUGACAGCCAAAUUUAGAUUCUGUAUUGCUAACUCUCCUGUCACAAGUUCUGGAUAUCUCAAAGGGAUGAGGGAAAGGUUUCAAUAAUAAGCAAGUGUUUCUCUUUGCAUUUCUCAUGCAAUAGCCCUUUCUAUAUCUGCAUGUCCUAGACAAUCUUGGAUAUCAUUUUCACUUAUCAUUGUAGAUAAUUCAUUAUAAAAUGGGAGGAGCUGAGCUACGAGUCCAUUUGUUUAUCAAUAAAAUCAAGACUAUGUUCAGUUCCUCACACAAUCUUCAUUAUUAAUUGGAAUCCAUAAUUUAUUUAUUUAUUGGCAUAGGGGCUUUAGCUGUGCUUUCUGGUCUUGAUGCCACAUAUUAAUGUGGUGGCCCAGUGCACAAGGAUCCUGCCAGUAAAAGUCCAAGGAGGAUAGAUGGAAGUAGCUUUGCCCUUGCAAGCAACGAAACUGUCGCAGCUCAAAUCCUAGGCACCUGGAUCACAAAGGAGAAGAGAAAAUAGCCAACAUGUGGUGACAAAACUGGCUUCCACCAAAAAUGUGAAUGAGUUUCAAAACAUAUUCUUAUGAUUCAUUACUUGUCUCUAGUGAAAAAAAGAAGCUAAGAGACUCAUAUCAGAAUUGCGAUACUUGGUGCUUGUUAUACCCCCAAAUGCUAGCUGGAUCCCUAUGUUACAUGAGUAAGGUGUUCAAGAUAUGUUACAUCAAAUGGAUUGAAAUGCAUGUAAUUGAAUAUUGUUGAUUUCCAUGCAUUUUUUCACACUGUCUAUAAACUCUUAUAGAUUGUCAUUUCUUUGUCUAGUCAAUUAAGGAAGGACAAUGUUUUCUGAAGCUCUAGGUGUUAUUUAUAUUGAAGACAGCUUAUAUGUAUAUAUCCUUUGAAACUUUUUGGUCAGUUCGAUGUUGUCGCAUGAUCCUUGAAGAACUUCUUCAAAUGAUUGUACUAUGAUAUGCUUGUGGAAACCAUUUGAAAUCUUAUGUGAAGUAUGCUUCCAAACAAAUAAUAGUUAUUUGAUGGUUAUUACAUCAAUGCAAACUUAUUGUUUAAUUUUCUGCUUAAAUCUCAUAGUAUAAGGGCAUAUUAAUCAUUCUUAUGUGGUGCAUGAUUAGGUUAGGCAACUAUUGGAAAAGAAUGAUAAAGGACAUGUCAUUGCUACCUGUCGGAAUCCUGAUGGAGCAACAGGCCUCCUUGACUUGAAAAAGAAAUUUAUGGAACGUCUUAAUUUAUUGCAAUUGGAUGUAACAAAGGAAAGCACCAUAGAGGUACAAGAUUCUUUCCAAGAUGUUAUUCAUUCAUAUAUUCUUUGCUCUUAAAUAUGCUAACUAGUCACUAGAAGCUCAAAAACAAUCUAUUACUUGGCAAUUUGCAAAAAGAUGUGGAAUUGGCAAAACUAUCGUUGAUCAAUUCAUCUCUAUAGCUAAGUAAACAAUUUGACAUCAACUGUUCUAAGAAUGCUUGAAGCAUGCUUUUAUGUGAUAUGAUUAUAUCUAUGUAGGAUGAAGGAAGUAAGAAAGUGAGAAAGGUUCCCUGUUUAGGUCGUUUGCAUGCAAUAAGCUUCUUCCAGCUUUUUUUUUUCUUAAUGGGUUAUCUUAUUCACCAAAAUAAACUUCAAUUCUUCCACGGACUUGAACUUCUUAUAGUAUAAACACGUUGACCUUUGGAGUUUUGACUUAGUUUGUUUAGGUGGGUGUAUUAUGGAACAGAUAAGAAUUAACAGGUUCUAGAAAUCAUGUCAGGCAAUCUGCAUAGAACAUGGCAAGGUAGGUGUAAAGUACCCGAUCAUUCUUGAUUGUUGUGAGACACUUUUUUAGUUGGCUUAACUUGUAAGAGAACCAAAGAAUUUACUAGGUCUUCUCGUAAUAUAUUUUUUACCUAAUACUUACUGAAUCUUGGGAUUUGUAAAGCCAAACUACAUGUUAGAAUGCUUACUCUUGGAUGGUUGUUAUCAGGUUGAUCAAGAAACAAGUUGCUUGGAGUUAAAACAUAUUAUGAUCAAAACCCUGCUGUUUACUACACAUUUUUCAAUUCUGAUCUUUUGCUUGCACUCCCGCAAUUUCUGUCCUUCUAAAUGUUACUUUUGUUAGUCUUUGCUACUCUGUCAAUCAAUCUCUUUGAACAUUAUAGGCCAUGGCAGGCAGCAGCAACCUCUGUGAGAGAAAACUAUGGCAGUCUGAACCCUGCUGUUUACUACACAUUUUUCAAUUCUGAUCUUUUGCUUGGACUCCAGCAAUUUCUGUCCUUCUAUGUGUUACUUUUGCUAGUCUUUGCUACUUAAAUUGCAACUUGAAUGCUAUCAUUCAAUCUGUUUGAAGUUUGAACAUUAUAGACCAUGGCAGGCAGCAGCAACCUCUGUAAGAGAAAGCUAUGGCAGUCUGAACCUGCUGAUUAAUGCGUCUGGCAUUCUUUCAAUACCAGAUGUACUACAACCAGGUUUUGCUUGUAACUACCAGCUAUGUGAACUUGUAUUGGAUAUAGUUGCCAAGUGCAAUAAAGCUUAUGCUUGUGGUUUGAUCAUUUACUUUCUUGGUCUUGAAAUAACUUCAUUUAAAGCUACAUGAAUGAUAAAUAUGACCUCAUGUUCCUUGCAAUAGUUAAUGAACUGAUCCUUCUCUGGUGUAUGAAACUCAUUUCAAAUUUUAUUUGGCAGAAACAACAUUAACUAAAGUAGAAAAGUCAUCUCUGCUUCUUGCAUAUGAAGUUAAUGCUAUUGGUCCUAUUUUAGUGAUCAAGGUGGGUUCUUCAUCUUAUAAUAUGACUUACUGUUUGUACUCCGUAGCUCUGUUUAUAAAUUAUGUUUCUUAAAUCCAGAACUAUAAUUCUAACUUCUGCUAGAAACUGUUCUGUUAGCACAUGUGGCCACUGUUGAAGGUUGGAGGUGGCUCUGGAACUGAAAGAAAACAUUCUGUUGUUGCAAGUUUAAGUGCUAGAGUGGGCUCAAUUGGAGAUAAUGGAUUGGGAGGAUGGCAUUCUUAUCGAGCUUCUAAAACAGCAUUAAAUCAAUGUAUGCGGCAUACUUUCUUACUGCAAUGCCAAUUAUCAUUGUCUAACUCCGUGCACUAGAUUUUUUUAAUGACUUCUUGCCUACUUUGAUAUCUCAUAUGAGCUUUAAAUACAUCUUGUUUCUGAACAUGAUUGUUUGAGGCUCAAGUUGUAUAUAAUGCUGAGAUAUCAACUGUCCUAGUCUUCUUGGUGUGUAAUUGUAUGAUGAAUAUUAAACAUAAUUUUUUGUGACAAGAAAUAGAUUUCUGAAGAUGGAAGACAUCUGGAUAUUGGUUUGACAUGCCAAAAAAAGAUUCCUGAUAGUGAGAUUCAGUGAUAAACAAUGUUUCAUAUCCAUUUAUUGAUCUACCAUGGUAAAUAUACUUGUAGGCUCGUAAAGCUUGUUUGUGCUGAAAUUAAGUCUUGAGCAGAUCAAUCCACUUGAUGGAAACCAAGAAACUUUACUUGAAACUUAUAUGUAUAAAUAUAAAGUAGAAGCAACACAUCGCAAGAUCAUCAUCUUAACCUAAGAAAUUUUUAGGCAAUAUCUUCUCCUGACUUCUCAAGUUAUCCUUGUCAAAGGGCCUGCACAGUUUAUGAAACUCCUACCAAUGCAGAAAAGAAAGCUCAGCCUUACCCCAGCAAACAUAGAGGCUAUUUUGUGAUCAAAGCUUAGAUCACCCAGGUCACAGGGAACCAAUCUUACCAUAGUGCUAAGGAAAAGUGUGUUUUGAAUGGUACUGCUACAUGAAUACAGUUCUCAUAGAUUGAGAAUGAAUUCUCAAGUUAUAUCUUCUCUUCUAGAUUGAUUUUCGUUGGUUGUUAUUUUAGAACUGGAGUUAAAGUUACUGCAAAUUUCAAUGUUAGUAGUGCCAGUAUGGCAGAGGUUUUGACUCUCUGGAGUCUUCCUCUUACUGUCUCUUGAUAUUCAUUCGCCUUUUUAGAGGCUUUAGGAGUUUUUGAAGUCCAGAGCCACAGAGAUGGAGUGUAAUACCAGGAAAACAACAUUCUGGCUUAGAUUACCAUACUAUAAAGAAACAGGCAGAAAAUAGGAUCAGCCGGUAGGGAGUUCUAACAGGUGCAGUUCUCAAUUUACACACAAAGGUGAGAAAGCUUACGUAUGCUCCUGCAUUUCUUUGUCAUUGACAUUUGUUUUUAGAAGUGCCCAAUUGAAUUUUAGGUUAGUGAGGAAAGGCACAAAGCCCGUUAACCACCUUUCAGACAUUGCUAUUUUGAGUCGAGAGAUAGAUAAAUAUACACAUCCAAUUGCACUGACCAGGGAGGUGCUCGUAGUGACUGAGGUAUUGGUAUUUUUUUUUUUUCAAAAGAAAUGUCUUUUUGCUCAGAUUCUGCUACGGUGUUGAAAUCUGAUCCGGGUAAUAUGUGGUUUUGCAAUGUUGCAAUGCAUCCCAUUGCACUGAUCGGGGAGGCGCUUGUAGUGACUGAGGUCUCGGUUAUUUUUUUUUUUUUUUCAAAAGAUGUCUGUUUGAUCAGAUUUUGCUACAAUGUUGAAAUCUCAUCCAGGUAAUAUGUGGUUUUGCAAUGUUGCAUUGCAUGUAUUAGCAAAUGCUUUCGCAUGUAUUUUACAGCAUGGCAUCUUCGCAUUGAAGCCAUAUGCAUUACUUGCUGGUUGCUUGCUUAUUUGUUAGAUAAUUAAAACCAAUGUGUCAAUAUAUGCAGUGACAAAGACUAUAUCAGUGGAAUUUGCUCGGAAGAAAGAUCCAAUCGUUUGCAUCCUGUUGCAUCCAGGAACCGUGGACACAGACCUUUCCCGGCCAUUCCAAAGAAAUGUCCCAAAGGGUAAACUCUUCACAAAAGAGUUCUCCGUCCAAAAUCUACUGAGCAUCAUAGACAAUGCUAAAAGCAGCGACAACGGGAAGUUUUUCGCAUGGGAUGGUCAGGAGAUUCCCUGGUAGAUUGGUCCCCGUUGUAAUUGAUGAUCUCAGUCUCCCUCUAACGAACUUGACAUAUAUCCUUUUUUUCUCAAUGAUCAAUUGUUGUAUUCAAUCUUCCAAGUGUUGCUUACAACUUGUUUCUGUUAGCCGAUGACAAGAAAUCAAUAACUAACUGAUUGUGUUCUUGAUCAUUUAUGUUGGAGUUGUUUAUUCUCAGAAUGUGCACCUGUAUAACAAAUAUAUACUUAUUACAUUUCUCAUGUAAUGUUUUCAUCUUUCACAGAGCAAUAUUGUUGAGGCAUAAAAAUCCACUAAUGAUUAUUCUCAAUAUAACUAUUUGGUUUCUUCAUACUUUGUUGCAACAAUCUCAUUACAACUGCUGCUCCUAGGUACCAUUUUUGCAACAGGAUUACAUCCAGUUGGAGAAAAGAAAACAGAUGGUUUUAUAUCAAAGACCAUCCUCAACCCACGAGUUUUUUUUGUAUCAUCCUAAUAAAUUCAUUCAAUUAAAAAAAAAUACUAUCAAACAUAAUUAACAAUACUAAAAAAAUUACAUAUAAUAAAAUUAAAUAUAUUCAAAUAUAAAGAGAAUAAAAAACAACAUAACUUGCGAGAGAGAUAGGAGAAGAUAGAGGAGAAAUGAGGAAAGGCACGGGGGGAGGGGGUGGGGCUUGCGAUGACCUACAAGGCGAGGCUACGAGAUGGGUGGGGGAUGGUUGCCACGAGGGGGCAGGGAUGCUGUGAUGAAGGGGAAGUCGAGAAGAUGAUGGAGCGAGAAAGGAGUGUGCAAUAGAAAGAUGAGUAUUUGGGUAUAGGUAUAAGACAAGGAGUGCUCUAUCCGUUUAGGAAGAUUAUCAUAUUAUAAAAAAAAAAGUGAUACUAAACAUAUUAUCAUGUCACCCUUGAAAAUUUAACAAGUUAAAUUUGAUCAUCAAUUCAACUUAAAAAUAUCUUAUUUAAAAAUUUAUUCAUUCUAAAAUCAUAAGAAAUUAAAAAAAAUAAUAUUAGUAUCUUAGUACAUGUUUUAAAAAAAUUAAAUUAAUUUGAUGAAAAUACGGGGCACAUUUGAUAUUAUCAAACUAAUUUUAAAAAAAUUAUCCCUCGUUAAAAACCAAUUACGGGGCACAUUUGAUAAAAGACUAAUAGUAGAGGAUUUUUAUGAUAAAUUGCCCAAUAUUACUCCUCUUCUUCUUUCCAUCUAUCGAGGUAGGGGUUCUUCCAAACCCUUGACAGAUAACGCUCGAGAUCGCCCCACGCGUGCUCCCUCUCUCUCUCUCUCUCUCGCUCCCCGCGAUGGCAUCGUCUCUGUUGAGUAGAACACUCGCCGUGCUUCGACCGAUCCGUUCUUCGGCUUGCGCUGCCCACGAUUCGAGAAAGAUUUUCAACCCUUUCUCCAAGGUUAUUUCUUGCGGCGAUUCUUGAUCGCCUUGGUCUUCCAUCUCUUGUUCUCGGUUCUGGUUGUUCUUGAUUCCCGAGUUUUUUUUUUUUUGCUCGCAGAGAAUAGUGAGUAGUGGCCGCUCCGGCUUGUCAUCUCUGGUUCGUCCAUCUACUUGGUCCGUCCGGCGCUUUGAAUUUGCUUCCACGAGCCUGAGGGCGACUACGUCUGCGAUUCAUACAGUAGCGCAUUGUGAGCCGGUUGUUUCUGCCGAUUGGCUUCUUGCUAAUCUUAGACAGCCUGAUGUUAAGGUGCUUUCCUAACAUCAGUUUUUUCCGUUUACAAUUGUGUUUUCUGCCAAACAGUUCUCCUGCACAAAGUUGCUGUCUGAGGACUACGUUCUCGCCAGCACUAUCAGUGCCAGUUGAGUGCCGUCUUGGCACCGGCGCCAACGAGCUGUGCCAUGCCAAACUGUUUUCCCACAAAUAUUUGCUGUUUUAGAGGGCUGCUUUCUUGGCAUCAGACAGUGCGGCUUGGCACUGUGCCAAGCCGCACAACCAGUUAUUUUUAAGGACUCCAUUCUUGUUAGCGCAACCAGUGCCAGCUGAGUGCCUCCCCAUUGCCGAGCUGCACAACCAUUUAUUUUGAAGGACUCCAUUCUUGUUGGCACAACCAGUGCCAGCUGAGUGCCUACUUGGCAUCACAGCUUUGCCAUGCCAAGCAGCUUUCCAACAAAUAGUUGCUGCUUGUAAGGACCACUCUUGGUAGCACAAACAGUGCUGCCCAGCUGCCGGAACAGUGAUGCUGAUGAGCUGCGCCAUACUGAAACUCGGCAAAGCUCGUCAAAUGAGAACCUCAAGUAAUUUCUAACUGAUUUUCCAUCAGUCAACAUCGAUUCCAAUUCAAAUGCAAGUAUUCUCUCAGAAUAGCAAAUACAAGUUAAAACACAAUCUUCUAGAUGCCUUUAAAGUAAGGUAAACAUAACCCCAACUAGGCCAAACAAUUCUUUGGCUCACCUCUGUUCUCGUAAGUAGACUAAAGUAAACUAUAGUGAAAACUUGACUCCAUUAAUAUGCUUUCAUUAUCUCUACUCAAUAAUCAAUUUGUAGAAGAGCUUUGAUUUAUAUCUUGGUUUCUGCCCCAUGAUAGUUUUUCCUUACAUGGAUGUUCGUUAUCAUAAUUCUUUCUUGCUUGCUUUUAUUUGGGUAUUCCUUUUUGUGUUGUAUGUUGAGAUCACUGGGCAAUUUAUCAACCCAGAGUCUGCUAACCAUUAUUGCCUUAUCCAUGUGGAAAUUUGAGGCGCUAUACUGCCAAAAAACUAUUUAAUCUCGCACAUGAGCCUCUUGAUAUUUUGCUUGAUGAGAACCACAUUGUUCAUAUGGCAAACUGAUUGGCAGCCAUUAUUGGUAAGUCUUUUUCCCAUGUAUUUUAUUAUCUCUUGACUUGGUUUGUGUUUACUGAGAUUUACAAGUGAUAUUCAAGUUUUAAUGUUACAAUAACAUACACAGCUCUGCUUUCUUAUCAAUCAACAUGUCUCUGUCAACCAGGUCUUCUUAUUGUCAUCAGCUUCAGUUUAAUUAAUAAGCAUAUGUAUUUAGUGUACAUAAUUUUAUGUGUAAGUAAAUACGUAUGGCUAAUCAUGUUAAUACGUAUUUGCAAUCUAUGCUAUUUGAUCUGAUCUUUGUUUGGUUGUCAUGUUUUUUAUUUUCAGAUACUAGACGCCUCUUGGUACAUGCCUGAUGAGCAAAGGAAUCCUUUCCAAGAAUAUCAGGUUUGUUUAUGGUUAGCAUUUUUUUCUCUUCUCGGCUCUGUUUAACAGUCUAUAUAUUGUUAUUGCUUCUUGUAAUAAGCUUGAUCAUGGUUAAGCCCUUGUAGUGCCUGAGGGGAAGUAUAAAUCUGAUGUAUGAAGCAACAUAAAACUUGUUUGUAGUGGUCGUAUUACUCAUAUAGUUGCAUGAUAAUUGGCUUUCAACUUUCUAUUUCUGGAGCAUGAAAUAAUUGAUUAAAAAUUGCUAUUGUUCUUAGUUCUUUUACAUUUGGAUUUUUGGUUUUUUACAUAUUGGUUUAUUUGAUUCUAUGGCCAGCAGUCAACUUUUAUUUUUCGUUGCUGUGAUGUUGCACUGUUAGAUAUAUAUGAUGAAUGUGUUUGGUGUUCGUGCAUCCUUUUUAAUCUUAGUGCUAAUGUCUAUCGAAGAACCUGUUAGAUUGAUAGCAUUGGUUUUUUUCUCGUACAAAUUUAUAUCAAUGAUAUAUAGUAUUUAAACCAAUAUACUGCUUUGACUGGGUGUGACUGUAUUAAUAUUUGCCAUAAACUGUUUUUUUUUGUUUAGGAUAUUAGGAGUUCCUGACAAUAUUUCAUACCUCAUCAGCCCAUACAUGAUAUUUUUUUAAGCAGAUACUUUGCAUCUGUUUCCUUCACUUGUAUCUAUCAGAUCUGGGAUGUCUCGAUCUAAAUUUAGGCAAAAUGCAUAUGGGACCUCAUGGCCCUUAUGCGGUAUAACCAUUGUCUGUGAAGCAGUACAACCAGCUGAGCACUGCAACUGGCUGAAAAAUUAUAAGCAUGAUGCCCAGAUGGACACACUUUGUAAUAUCGGUCAACUGCCAUGUAAACUCAUUAAAUUCCGCGUUUUUCUACAACCCCCUAAGUUAACAGGGAAUCAAAAUGGGUUUUUUUUCUUCUGAUUAUUGGAUUGAAGAUAAUGUAAUAAUCAAGGUCUCGAAGCUCAGCUGUACCAAUUGGUACAGACCAGUGUUUACCAAUCCUAUCAAGUAUCAAGUGCCAUUGUCAAAACACAUAGCUUGGUACCAUUUUAUUGCUAUUCAUUUUUUGUUAUUUUAUUCAUGAUAUCAUGUGGUAUAAGUAAUUGUAUUGCAUGGUAUACCUGUCCAUACUGGUCUGGUAGUUACCUAAACUGGUAUCAGGCUGAGAUUUAAAUCCUUGUUAGCUAUGGUUUAAAGGAUUGUAUUGUCUAUAAAUUAGGGGUUGUGGGUGAAUAAGGUUAAAGUUAUCAUGGAAAAUUAUUAAGGUUCAGUCAGUAUAAGUGCCAGUUGUUUUUAGUGUCAAUGGUCCAUUCAUCCUGUUGGCAAUGUGAUCUUCUUCAGCUUCUCUAUACAAGCUUGGAGUAUAUUUCUGUGCCUUAUUUGUUUACUUUCAGGGUUUUUUAGUAUUAUAAUUUUUUCAUCUUUUCUUUUUCAGAUGGCUCAUAUACCUGGUGCAUUGUUUUUCGAUGUUGAUGGAAUAUCAGACAGAACAUCUAAUGUAAGAUGAAAUUUCCUGAUUUUUACAUUGAUUUUCUUGUGGUUUAGAUUUGGUAAGUGCUUGUUUUGGGCAAAUACUGAAAAUUAGUCCUUGCAAAUUAUACAUGCACACGAGUAAUUUCUCUUGGUAACACAAGUCCUGCCCGUGCAACUGCCCCUAGCUUUUCCUUCUGUGGAUUAUGGUAAUACUUGCAUGCUUAUAAACAUAGGUGAAUACAAGUGUAUAUUUUCUUGUUUGUUGUUGUGAUCUUGACCAAAGGUUUUCUUUUCCCGAACUUCUUGUAUGUUAUAAUCAUAUAUGUAGAUGUGGAUAUCCACAAAUAUGAUCAAUAUAAUGUUUAAUAUAUAUUUGUCCAUGUAUACGUGUAUGUCAGAUAUGUAUAUAUGUUAUGUGGAUAUAUGAACUAAGAACACUUUUUUUAUAGUGUUUACAUCCUUUAGAUCAAAAUCCACAAGUUUUAUCUAAUUAUCAGCGUGCUAUUGGUCCUUACAGUAGGUAGCAAAUGUUUUGGCAUUAAACAGUAAUUCUGCACUGGCUUUCCGCCAUUAUGCAUGAAUGAUAAAAGACAAUAAGUGGGAUAGUGACUAUGGUGUAGACCAUAAAGAGGCCAUACUUAAACCAAGAAAGGACAUAUUCACAACGGAAAUCAUGGACAGAGCAGUGGAAAUAAGAAGGAAGAAAAGUGACAAGAAAAAGAGAAACAUGACUCCUUUGAUAUAUGUGAAUGAGGUCAAAUUAAAUGGACCUUAUCAAAUGUAAUCUAAGAGAGCUUCUCCAUGACCUUUUAGUAAUAGAUUUCCAUUUGAGGCAUAUUUUACAGUUUUGGACAGAUCUUAGCUGACCUGCUUUCAUCCUAUGUUUCAGUAGAACUGUCCAGAAAGUGACUUAAAAAUGUGAAAUGGCUGUAUCGUAUACAUGGAACACCCAGUUGCUCUACAUGUGUAAUUGUAAGGGAAACUUUCAUACAUAUUCCUUGAGAGUAGGGAAUGAUGAAUAUACCUUGAAGCAGGAAAAUUUUUGAAAUAAGACAUAUGUAUGAUGAUUUGAAAUGGGACGGAUAAAAUUUAACCAAAUCAAUCAACCGAACCUAAUCCUUGGAAUUGUCCUUGGUUAGGUUGGACAUGUACUAUUUUAUGCAGGUUCUCUUUUUAGAAAGGGCAUUUUGGUCACUCUGACAACUAAUGACUUGUUUCUAACAGCCUAUCCAUAUUAUUUAACAUCAGGUAUAUAUUUGUUAAUGUUGAAAUUUGGGAGGAUAUAUAUGUGAAACCAACUUGAUGGAUGUUUUUGUUGUUCUUUAAUUAUUGAGGGAUAAGUAUGAAAAUUUCCUAAAUGUAAUGGAUAUGUCAGGAUGGUGGUGAUCUCAGGCAAAUCUUGGUGUAUCAAUGGCUACUGUAGGAUCCAGAAUUAUUUUAAUUCAAUCCUAUGGAAGAAAUAUUCUGUAACAAGAUAUCUUUUUUAAAUUAUCAAGAUUUAAUGUCCUUAUGAUGAAAAGUUCUUAUAUUAUCUCUUCCCUGUUUAAUUGCAGCUAGCAGUUAUCUUACAGUGUUUCAUUUUGGUCAUUCUUUUGAUCCUUUCUCCACCUUUUAACUUUCAUCAGUAAAUUAACCUGUAUUUUCUUGAUAAUAACUUGUAAACAAAUUAUUCAUUUCCAGUUCAUCCAGUUCCAUUUUCUUUCAUUUGGGAGCUCGUGUUUCUUAUAGCCAACUCUAGCUUCAUAAUUUUGGUACUGGUAAUUUUUAAAAAAGAACAUGGCUUUUGGUAUAAACUUAUCAUUCUCUUUUAAUUAUUUUGGAUUGCCCACUAAAUAUCUGUUUCGUAAUAGAUAGAUAUAAAAUGGCGUCUGAUCGGUUCCAGAUUAAAGAAUAAUCCAUUUUAUCAUAAAGUUGGACAUAAGCAAUUAAAGAAAGAUAAAGUUGCAAUGAUUAUAUAUACUAAUGACAAUGAACUUUUAAUAUCUUUUUCAUCGUUUCACAACAUGAUCUGUAAAAGAAGGUAAUGAUUAUGCUAUACCCAUCUAUAUAGUGCAUCUUUUCAGUUGUCCUGAGUCAAAUGUUUGGUUCAGUAGAUAUCACUUGUUUUUUUCCUCCAUUGAUUAGUACUUAUAACAUGGAUAGCAACUAACACUAGUAAUAUGAAUCAGUUGCCACAUAUGUUGCCAUCAGAAGAAGCUUUUGCUGCUGCAGUUUCUGCACUUGGGAUUUAUAACACAGAUGGGGUGGUUGUUUAUGAUGGAAAGGGAAUAUUCAGUGCUGCUCGUGUGUGGUGGUGAGAUAUAUAUUAACAUGGAAAUUAGUUUGUGUUUGUUUUGGAUAAAAUAGUUUUAUCUAAAGCUGAUAAGCAAGAGGAUGUUUAUACUAUUGGGUAAGUAUCAUAUUGCAGAACUUUGAUAAAUUAUGCAAUUGUAUUUGAAAUAUUUACUCAACUUUAUUAGUUAUUUAUAAAUUUUACAAAUAUUUGUUUGUGAAGAUAAUUAUUGCAAAAUAAGUUUCGUGUUUAUAUUAAACAAAUAGAUUACAUGAGAUUCGGCCAUAUGGUGGUGCUCAAGGUUUUUAGAAUUCAGGAAUGGAAAUAGGAUUAGUCAUAUGAAAAUUUUCUGGGAUCAGAUUGCAUCAGUGGGAUCAGAUGAUAUGGAUCAGUUGGUCAGGCUUCAACAAUUUUUAUAAUUAUUUUGUUCAACUUGUGUACUAACUGAUUAAUUUAUGAUUGAGAAGUUAAGCAAACAAAUAACAAAAAAAAGAAUGAUGCUUGUAGAUUUACUGGUUCUCGUGUUAUUGGCCCAAAAGUAGAUAUUCAUCUAAAACUGAGAGAAUAAUAGUUUAAGUUUAAAUAGUUAUUUAGUAAUAUGUAAUUAAUAUUUUUGGGUCAAUAGCAUCUACCAACUGGGAAACUUCUAAUAUUAACUUAUUGAUCAACUUAUUCUUCUCUUUAUCUAAGCCAAGUUAUAUUUACAGAUUUAUAACAUUGACUGCAGGAUGUUCAGAGUUUUUGGACAUGAUAAGGUUUGGGUGCUGGAUGGAGGCUUGCCGCAGUGGCGUGCUUCCGGAUAUGAUGUCGAGUCCAGUGCCUCUGGAGAUGCAAUUUUAAAAGCUAGUGCAGCUAGUGAAGUAAUUGAAAAGGUUUAUCAUGGAAAGGUGGUAUGUUUACUAAUCUAAGCCUUUUAAAGAAUAUUAUUAGUCAAUUUGUUGGUUUUCAUAUUUAUAUUUGUUUCUAAAAUAUAAUUGUCUGUUGCAAUGUUUUGUUUGCUUUGUGGACCGCAUAUUGUCUCCAUUAUCUCAAGCUUGUUCAUAAUUUCUUUGUUGUUCCCCAUGUGCCAUGUUGAUUUGGCCUUUUAAAUCCACUUGAUUAUUUGGACAAUGAUUUAGUGUUGAUGUUUAAACUUCGCAAUUUGUGAAUCAGUUCAGUCAUAAAUCAUUUAAUCACUUAUAAUACAAAAGCAAAUGAAUUUGUGUGUUUGUCUGGGUGUGGGAGGGAAACAUUAUCAAAAUGGAGGCUAGAGGUUAAUAAAUUUAUCUUGUACAUUUCUGAGUUCUCCAUAUUUGCAUCUUCAUUCAUGGAAGCUAUAUCUGCAUGUUGGUUCUUUAUGUUUUAUAUAAUAGCAAAAAGGAAAAGAUAAUCUGUUAAAAAAAAGACAAAUGAAGUUGAGGAAUUUUUCCUAUUACUAGUGAUUUUGGUCUUAAAACUGACUAAUUCACAAAAUCUUCAGAACAAGUCAUAUUUUGUAAAAUGUUUAUCUUUAUCUGCUAAUGACAACAGUCAAAUGCCUAACAUUUGUUCCUGUGCCAAAAUAUGAGAAUGUUUGAUAUUAGCUAUUUAUUUUAACCGAGUGUCUCGUUUUGAUACGGAAUUGUGAUAAUGUACAACUCUAAGUUAUCCUAUGCAGGUUGGAUCUUCAACAUUUGAAGCAAAGUUUCAGCCUCAUCUUGUAUGGAAGCUUGAACAAGUAAGUACUAUUUGUUUCCACUACAUAUUUUUCGAACUACUUAAAUUGCAUCCAGACACUUGCUCUGCUAGGAAAUUGUCAUCCAAUGGAAGAAUGAAUAGUCAGAUAUAAGUGCCUGUUCACACGCACAUACAAUGUAAUUUGACACAGGGUCUGCCGUACCGAACUGUACCGCCCGGUACGGGCGGUACGUACCGGUCCGACAGGUUGUCGGUAUGCGGACCGCCUGUUACCGGUUCGAGUAUACUGUAGCACUGUAGCAGUGCUACAGUACUCGGCACACCUGGGUGUACCGUUCGGUAUACCGUACCGUAUUGGUAUCGAGCCCAGAUCGAAAUACUGGUACGGUACGGUAUUGCGAACCUUGAUUUGACAUACAAUGUAACAUGGAAUCUGCAAAGGAUCAAUAUACACAACCUAAUCUUUGCAAACAGAGACUAUUCCUGGCUUUAAAGAAAAGCUAAUAAAACUAAUGAUAAAACUACUAAUGAUAACAGGAUAAUCAUGUGCUCCCAGAUUGAAUGUCUUAAAGCAAAAAACAAAAAAAUAAUAUGCAGUACAAUUGUUGACCAAACUAAUGGAUUGAGGAAUAGAAGGAGAGAUGAAAUGGGGUCCUAUGGGAGUUAAUGCUAAGUUUCAGAAAAUUAAUGGAUUGGAGUGUAUUUGAUUCUUGACUUCCCCCUCCAUCUUCUUUGUUUACAACAUUUAUUUAUUCCUUAUAACUGCUUUUCACUUUUUUUGUUGUGAGAGAUUUGCAUCUGUCCUAUGAUAAUCUUCAUGGUUUCUCUCUCUGUGUACAUCAUCUGUUGUUUGUACAAUUCCCUGCUACUGGGCCACUUUACCCUUUCGUUGUGCCUCCAUUUAUCAUAUUGGCUGCUCCAUAUAGUUUUAUCCAUCUGCUCUGACCCAAUGAUAUUUCUGUAUCCUGCUGCCAGCCAUGUCUUGUCUGCUCCAUUCCUUGGUUCCAACCAUUUAUAGUGGUCUCAACUUAACUGUUAGGCUUGCACUCAAGCCCAUUUGUAAAUUAAUUAUUUCAGAUAAUUGUUUCCCUUUCUAGUGAUUUGAGUUAGCUUGUAGGCUUAGACUCAGACGUAAUUUUUGUAAGUUGGUGUCGACUGUUGUGUUCUGAUAGGAUAUACUUUUGAAGUUUCCUAGUUGGUGGCUGAUAUGUGAUCUCAUUCUAGGAAAAAAGCCUUUUCUAUAAUUUAAUCCCAUGCAGAUGUGAGGAAACUGAGAUUGUAACUAUGCUUAUAUUCUUUACUGCUUAAAUGUUGGAAUGUUUUAUUGUUAGAUUUGGAUGGGAUUCUUUUCAAGGGCAUGCUACACUUUGAUUCAUGGCUUCUUUGAGAACAUGUUGAACACAUUAGAUGGACAAAUCUAAUUCAUCUUGACAAGUUAUUGUUGCUGAAACAAGGAACAUUGCUUCGGGGUACCAAACUCGUCUAGGUCUUUGGUCGGACCAUUACGUAAUGGUGUGACUUGAAGAGGAAGGAGGAGAAGAGGAAGGAACAAAUGGCAGUGGAGGAAGAGAAGGAAGGUGGAAGGAAGAAGAGGAGGCAGCGGAGAAAGCAGAAAAGGAAGAGACAGGAAGAAGAGGAGGCGGUGGAGGAAUAGGAGGAAAAAGGUAGAGGAAGGAGUGGAGGCAAUGGAGGAAGAGGAGAAGAGACACGUACUGAGUAGGCAGUGGCUUUGCAUUGGGUGGUGUGCAGUGGAGGUUCUCGCGAUGCAACGUUUUUUUUUCAUAUGGCCAGACCACCAGACUACUUGUAACGGGAGAGGUCCACAUACCAGCUCACUGCAGACUGGUACAUGCAACUCGUUUCAUACUGCUUUGGAGAAACGGUAUUCCUUGGGCUGAAAAAUGCUAUGGCUGGAUUAGGACUUAACAACUAUAUAAGUUAGAUUAAAUAAUUUUGUUAACUAGUAUAGUUUAGGCUUUUCUUUAGGCAUUAAUUUCAGAUUGUUUGUAUCUUCCUGGGAAUAAGUUUUACUAUUUUCCAAACUUUCGGACUUUCAGAUGUACUUGUUGCAAAUAUUAUAACAUAAGAGUGUAGACCAUGUUUUGUCCAAGUUAUAAUUGAUUCUGGCUGUCUUGGAGGAACCUAUUAAAAUAAUUAGGUGCUUUGUAGUAUUCAGAACCCAAAUGCUGGUGUUUAUUACCCUUCUGUCCUCGUACAGUUUUCAUUGGUAUCGAUGCUUCUAUCUUUAGCUUAAGUUCUAAUGUAUAUGGAAAAGUUUGUGAAGAUUUCUCUUUUUCUUUGUGGGCUGGACAAUAGUUCUUUCUGUACAUUGUUGUUGGUAAUGGCCUUUAGCACAAAGCAAAUGUAAUUACUUGUUUCAGGUUAAGCAAAACAUAGAAGGACAAGCAUAUCAGCAUAUAGAUGCACGUUCAAAGGCGAGGUAACUUCUUAUUAUAUUGUCUUGUUUAAGUCAUAAUAUUUCAAUAUAAUUGCUUUUAGCUUAAUACUUUGACAUGCUGUAAAUCAUCCUUGAUUUUUUUUUGACACAUUAUACUCCAGUCCUUCCUUUGAAGGCUGCGUCAUAAAUUUUGAUUUCUUGUCAGAUUGGCCAGAGGACUUUCUGGAAAUCUACAGCCCUAUGAUGUAUUUGUGAUUUCUGUAAGAAAUAUAUAUAUAUAUAUAUAUAUAUAUAUAUAUAUAUAUAUAUAUAUAUAUAUAUAUAUAUAUAUAUAUAUAUAUANNNNNNNNNNNNNNNNNNNNUUGAAAUUUUUUGAUUCAACUGUGUUCAACUUUUCAUUAUCCUAUCAAAUUAAUGCUCCAAUCAAAUAAACAUGAAAUCAUUGAAUUCAGUUACAUUGAACCUAACUUUCUUAUAUGUCUGUGCCCAUUGCACACGAAUUGGACAUCAUUGACAUUCUGCUCUAAUCUUAUUUCUUUUGUUAUCUAUAGUUGGAAUCUACAAUUCUUUAUUCUGAAAAAUUAUAAAGGACUUGAUCUUAUUAAGAUGUUGAAGACCUGAUGCCCAAUAGGAUGUUUAUUCGCAAGCCAAGAAGGCAAGAACCAAUAUAAAAUCCAUGAACUACCAACGAAACCUACUCCUUUAACGUUUGUCAAAUCAUCGGAUGCAAGUGUUGGGAAUUGAAGAUGAUCAGCAGUCUUAUGGGUCAAUCAGAACAACCUGUAAGACAGCAAAGAUGAGAGACUUUGUGACAUUUUGUGAGAGUGGGUCUCAUACAUGGAGAUUAUUUCCUUCUAAUUAUAAUAUUUUGUGCCUUCAGACCCCCACUAUAAUACUGUCCCUCAUUUUUCCUUGACCUGUUUCUUCUCAGAGUGGUACAUAAAGCUUUUGAUCAAAAUAUAAACCACCACAUACUGAGAAGUGAUUUAAUAAAAAAGAUGUCUUGAAUGUAUGCCAGAUUUGACGGUGCAGCUCCUGAGCCACGGAAGGGAAUCAGAGCUGGUCAUGUUCCUGGCAGCAAAUGCAUUCCUUUUGGCCAGGUAGGGAAUUUAUAAGUUUCACUUUUUUGUUGUUUACUAUGUUUUCUUUCUUAUGGAUUGACAUGAUAUCUUCACCAGUUCCAUCACCUCUUGUUACAGAACUGCAAUUAUAUUUUAAAGAAGCAUUUAUUUUGAUUCAAAUGAUUGGCCUUAGACCCAAGACAAGUUUUUCUGUUAAGGCACAGAUUCCUCAUUCAUCUUAUAAUUAUUCAUUUUAACCUUCUGGAUACUUGUGUUCCCCAACUGGGUAUGAUGGUUGAUAAAACCUUAUCAUAAUGCAUUUUACUGAUUUAUGGACCCUAACUAUUUUUACACCAGAGUUCUGUAUGAUCUAAAAAUUUAUUUGUUACAUGAAGGCAUGCCGCCAAAAGACUUUGCCAUUUGUUAAGAGCAAAACCUACACCUUGUUUUAACUAGGAACUGUAUUACAACAAAUGGUGUCCUUGCCUAGCUUUAAACUAUUUUCUUUUUGACUGACCUCUGCAGAAAUUCAAUAAUAAAUCUUUUACUGUGGGAUUUCAAUGAGACAAUGUACCUUUUCUGCAGAUGCUGGAUAGCUCACAAAUGCUCUUGCCUGCAAAUGAACUUACCAAAAGAUUCGAGGAAGCAGGUAAGUUUUAAUAUUUUCAUGUAAAUAUCCAAAUGUAAAUCUUGCAUAUGGUAAUUUAUCAGGGUCACUUGUACUUCUCGAGUCAACAAUGAUCUUGGAAAAAGAACUUUGCACCUUUUGUAAGAUAGAGAAUUGCUUCCUCGCUGCACUGGGAAGUCAUAUCUUUCUUUCAUCCUUGCAGGAAUCACAAUGGACCAACCUGUGGUUGCCUCCUGCGGUACUGGUGUGACUGCUUGCAUACUUGCUUUAGUAAGUUACUUCAUUUCAGUUAAAAAAUGAUUUUCUACAAAAUUUGACAUUGGCAUAGUGAUAAUCAAUCAAAUUCAUGGAAUUUUAGGGUUUGCAUCGGCUUGGAAAGACUGAUGUCGCAGUCUACGAUGGAUCCUGGACCGAAUGGGGAUCACAACCUGACACCCCUGUCACGACUGCUUGAAUUUUUUGAUGUUUCGAUGGAACCAUCUAUCAUUCUAUAGCGGAUCAUGAGAGGGAGGAGAUGCUUAUUUAUUUGUACAUGAGAUAAUUGCGAAAAUUUUGAACACACUUUAUUGGUAAUAAAGCAAUGUCCUUUAGUUAUUAAAUAGUACCUAUAAUCCUCAAAUGAAGGAUGAAUCGAUAAAUCAGCAUCACCUCUGGUAGGUAAGAACUCCAUGUUUCAUCUUAACAAACGUAUGCUGUUGUUCAUCUUGACAACUCGGGAUGUAUGCAUUACUUCGUUACUGUUUCUUUUUAAGCUGUCAUUGAUGCACCUGCUCUGAACAGGUUGGAUAUUUUAGGGUUUUGUAGUUGAAUUCUGUUUGAUGACAUGCUUUUCAGAGUAAAUCAUGGCCAUAAUUGAUGUGGUAGAAAUAAAGUCCAGAUGAAGUUUCCUUUGUAUCCUCCUGAAGUCCAUUUUAUUGUCAACACACACAAACGAUAAUGUUUGACAAUUUGACAUAGAGUUGACCUACAGAAACGAAGAGCUCGACGACCAGUAAAAUUGCGAUCUUUCAGCUUGACUUUAUAUAUAUAUAUAUAUAAAUCUUAGCUUUUACCCCUAAAAAUUUACAUGUGUUUAUACAUAAGAUGUGUAAAUUUUAGUUGAUAUUAAUAAUCUUUAAAAUUUUAAUCAAUGGUAUUGAAUAAAUUUUAUAAAAAAUAUUCGGACUAUCAAAUUGAUAGGUAUUGUCAACGGUAAUCAACUUAAUUUUUUGUAAUGGACAUCAGCCAAAGAAGCACUUAUGGUGCAUUGUAAUAUUUGGAAGAACACAAAAAUUAUCAAGGUUAAAUAUCUUAUUAUUUACAAUAAGACAACAACGAGAUCGCGUGGCCUAAUGGAUAAGGCGCUCGCCUCCGGAGCGGGAGAUUGUGGGUUCGAGUCCCAUCGCGAUCGUAUGUAUUGUUUUUCUUAUUGGUUUUUCCCUAAUAAUAUCGGGAAAUAUUUUAGAUAAUUUACAUUAUAAUCCUAAAAGCCACCACCUUCCACGUCAACAACCAGUGGCCCCCACACCAUCUUGCCCCGGCGACACCUGGGCGCUCCACGUCGAGCCCGUAAAGAUUAGCGACAGCUGGACGCGGAGUUGCCGUGGAGUAGCAGCUUGACUUGACUGCGCGAAGUCACCGUCCAACUUUUGUGGCCACAGGUUGAAGUCAAGAACGCACUUCUUCUUGUAGAUCCCGUCGGUGAUCCUAUUUGUACCUGCUCGUUUGAAAUGACCAUAUGAGCUUGUUUGACCUCUUUGCAGCCUCUCCUGAUCUCAAUGGCUUCAUCAACCAUUCUCUCCUUCCUCCUCUUCGCUCUCCUCCUCGCCCUCUCCCGUGCCGCCACUUUCGAGAUCGUCAACUGGUGCCCUUUCACCGUCUGGGCUGCAGCCGUGCCAGGUGGCGGCCGCCAGCUUGACCGAGGCCAGACCUGGGUCCUCGAUGUGAACCCCGGGACGACCGGCGGCCGCAUCUGGGCUCGCACCGGCUGCUCCUUCGAUGGCAGCGGCAGUGGAAGUUGCCAGACCGGGGACUGCGGCGGCGUCUUGGCGUGCCAGGGGUACGGCAGCCCACCCAACACCCUCGCGGAGUUCGCGCUCAACCAGUUCGACAACCUCGACUUCUUAGACGUCUCCCUCGUUGACGGCUUCAACGUGCCCAUGGAGUUCAGCCCCAUCACAGGGAACUGCAGCGCGAUCCGGUGCUUAGCGGACAUCAAGGGGCAGUGCCCCGCCGAACUGUGGACUCCGGGCGGCUGCAACAAUCCAUGCACGGUGUUCAAGACGGACGAGUACUGCUGCACAUCCGGCAGCUGCGGCCCAACCAAUUACUCCAAUUUCUUCAAGAGCAACUGCCCCGACGCCUACAGCUACCCGAAGGACGACGCCACCUCGACCUUCACUUGCCCCGGUAACGGCGACUACAAGGUCAUCUUCUGCCCCUCCGAUGGGUACCCCACGAGGUUCGGCCGGACCGCUGUGAGAUUUGUGAUCCCAAGGGCUUGAGGACGUAAGAGGUUUUGUGCCUCGGAUUUGUGUGCUGGAUUGAGCGCUGCCGUGGGGAAAGGGAAGAUGCAGACUUUUUUGUACACUACCAAAUCGUCCAAGUUUGACUUUGACUUUGCGACUCCUUCCUAAUGUCUUUGAUGAAAGUGGAAGAGAAAACAACAUGUUUGAGCAACAGAACAAUUGUGAAAUGAUACAGAAGAAAUGAGAAAUAGAGAAGACACUGAAAAAAUACCAUUUAAAUGAUAUACUAAAAAAAAAUCUUUUGGUCAUCAAUAAGUAAUAAAACUUAUAUAAAUUUAAUAUUUUUAAUUAAAAAAACUCAUCUGAAAAAUAUUUAUGUACAUAAUUUUAUUUUUAAAUAUUUAAAGAGGAUAUUUUCAUGACUCAAUAAUCUUUAGAUUAGCAGAACUCCAUUCCAUGGGAAACUAGACAAAAGGCUCAAGCAUAGGUCUUCCUGCCACACUUCAGUUUUCUCAUCAGACUCCAAUAACAUUUGAAGCAUCAGUACAAUUUUACUGUUCUUGCCUACCUCAGGAAAUCUAGAUUAUUUUGAUGGCACCAAGUGACAUGAGCUGAGGUUACAGAUCAUGACAAGCAAUCUGAUGUCUUGGAUGCCAUCACAGAUCUCUGAGACCAAUAUAUCUUUGUUGUGUCCUGAACAGUGCAUGAAUUACUGAAGCCUUUAAACUCUUUCAGUCUUUGUCUGGCUCAGAGAAUCCAAAUUAAUUUCAUGCCAUCGAGUGACAUGAGUUGAAGCCAUAGAUCAUGACAACAAGCAGGUUGAUACCUUAGAAGUCAUCACAGGCCUCCCUGUAUCUAAUAUAUACUUGUUUCCUGAACAGUGCAUGAAUUACUGAAGCCUUUAAACUCUUUCAGCCUUUGCCUGGCUUAGAGAAUCCACAUUAAUUUGAUGCCAUCAAGUGACAUGAGUUCAGGUCAUAGAUCCAGCAACAAGCAGUUUGAUAGCUUAGGUGUCAUCACAGAUCUCCGUGUAGUGCAUGAGUUGCUGAAGUUUGGAAUAGCCACUUUGUUCAUAUGACUAUGACUGAGACCAUGUGGUAUCAAAGAGGAAGAUGAAAGAAGCUUCUAUGUUCAAGAUGCAGCCCUUGCAAGAAAGUUGUGAAUAACCAGAGAAGUAGCACCGGAAAACCAUAGCAUUGCACACCUCGAAGAGUACCUACAAUAAUGCCAAAAGCAUCAUCUUGUACAUAUGAUGUUUGAAGAUAAAAAUGAAGAGCACUGAUAUAGGAGCCACAUAAUCUCUAGCCGGGCUAAGUUCUUCAAAUUUGAUGGCUGUAUUAUCAGCAUGAACAGAAUUGUGAAAGGAUUUUAGAAUGCAGGGGAACAUUUACAAUUAGCUUUCGGUAGCACCCAUUUUGAAGCAACCAGUAAGGAGAAGGAAGAAGAAGGCAAAAACAAAUUUGCAAUCAAGUAGAGAUUGGUUGUAGCUGAUAUUGAUGAUGCCUAUAUGUGAACGAAUAACUGGAUUGACAUUAGUUCAUAACCACAUGUUUACAAUCUAGCCACAAAUUGCAAAAAUAAAUGACAAAAAACAGGAUGACCUUCCAAGGUCUCCAUCAGUCUAGAUUGCGAAUAUAAGCUAAGAUAUCCAACAUCAUAAAACUAGAACUGAUUCCAAGAUGACCGCUAAUGAUAGACAUCUGGGACAGAGAAGUAUUUGGUUUGAUCAAACAAUAUGUUUGUCCAUGAUAGUGGCAUCUGUAAUGAUGUACUUCCUACUACUUUGAUGUUGGUAAUAGGACCUUUGGAUGCUAAUCCAUGUUGUGCAUAGAAUACUAAAUAUACCACCUGGCAUUUAAAAAUCCUAGUUACAAGUCUAACCAGUGAUUAUCAAACAACACCUAGCAUGGUCAGCAUUUUCAAGUGAAUAAGGCAUUCUACGAUGUAGUCAUCACACGCAUGUACCGCAAGUCAUGUGCUUAUCAAAUCAAUAAAUUUCCAUUAAUAAAAUAUAGAAAUCAGUGCAAUAGAAGUAAAUGAAAAUACCUACAGGCAAGAUCAAGCCAUAAACAAGUUUUGGUCCUUA
rnacentral:lncRNA from 1 species